rnacentral:lncRNA from 1 species
UUUUUUUUUUUUUUGUUUUAAAUUUUUAAAUCCUGAAGAUAAGAAAGAAGAAGAAGAAGAACAAAAGAAAGAAAAGGAAAAAAAAACCGAAUCUGGGAAGAAGAAGAAGAAAAAUCUGGGGAGGGUGCGGGUUAUAGGGAAGAAGAUGGGGAUUAUGGUUUUUUUUUUUUUAAUAUAAAUAUUUUUAAUAUUUUAAUAUUUUUAAUGACACGUGGCGCCCAAUCAUUGUCCACAUGGGCGCCACGUCAUCACUUAACGGGAGAACUAAUAGUUUGACUAACGGAUGUAUGAAACUGUCCCAAAAUUAACACUUUAGGUAUGACUCUGGGAUGAAAAAAAUUUGAUGUACUAAAUGUUGAAAACCACGAAACAUGAGGGUAGUAAAUAGUCUUUUGCCCUAUAUUUUAAUAAGAGUAAUGCUAUUCAUACAAUGUUUUGUACUAUAUUUUCAUACCACCUUAGGUGGUAUUCGAUGUGGACAGCCACAUCAUUUGAAUUAAUCAGAUUUUUAAAUUUAGUUCAUUAUUUAAUAAACUAAUAAUUAAGAAAAACAAGUUGAUUAAAUGAUGAUUGUAGUAUACGAGGAGUCUUUCUCCUUCAUUUCCUUGGGUUUUGCAAAUUUUUCAAAUGAUGUGGCUGUCCACAUCAGAUGCCACCUAAGGUGGUAUAGAAAUAUGGUAUAAAAACAUGGUAUGAAUAGCAUUACUCUUUUAAUAAUGUUGUUCUCGUCCACAAACCUAAUGGAAUAACAUACUACACUGUCAAGUGUGGACUAGAAUCACAAGAAUUAUAGUGCCUCGGCGAGAAAAGCCCACGUCCACUUAAAAAGUAUUAAUUGAAGUAUUAUCCAGAGAGCCAAAAGAAUGAGCUACACGGAAGAGGAUCCUCUCCGGAUCCACUUUGUGGGGAUUCCUAGCCGUUCAUCAUAUAUCAUGCGGCUAGUUUUUAUCAGGUACUAUUUGUGUUUAAUUUUAAAUAAAUAAGUCAAAUGAUUUAUGACCGCAUAAUGCAUGAUGAAUGUCUAAGAUGUGAGGAUCCCUAGGAUCUUCACAGUUGGGAUCCAAAUCCGAGCUACAGACACUAUAUACAAAGUCCAAUUUUCUUUUUGAUAAACUGCAAAGUCAAGUUCACUCUAACAUUGCUAUUAUGGGAAAUGUCUAUGAGGUAAUUUAUAUUUUUUAAAAAUACAAUAUGUCAAGGGGGCAUGAAACCAAACUACCGUUAAAGAAGUCAUGAAAAACAUGACAAAAUAACUUGAAUUUAAUAAUCAAAAGAAAAACUUAUAAAAAAGAAGUUGAGAAAGGCUGCGAAUAAGUAGUUGCAACACAAUGAGGGCAUGAAUCUCACCAGUGAACAAUGCAGUGAUCAACACUAUAAUUGGCCAGACAAUUAACAACUUGAUUACCCUCCUUUAAAAUACGAGUACAAUCACCAAUACAAUUAAUUAAUCUUAUGAAAUUACUAUGACAACUAGUCAUAUUAACAUUAAACACAAACAUGUACAUCAAUAGAUAGAGAAUUUCAGAGUUUUGAACGCACCUCACGCAUUGAGAACCAAAAACCUAGAAAUAACUUGUUCGUGCUUUUCUCUCUGUGAAAGUGGCGGAGCCAGUAGAGCCUAGUAGGCAGGUGAAUGGGAAGUCAUCGGGGAUAGGUGGAGAAUUAGUUUCUUCACCGAUUGAAUUUGGAGCUAAUGGUGUUGAUUCUUCCUGAUUUGGUAAGAGAAUUCGUGGGAUUGAUGGACCAAAUUUGGAUGCCGAACGUGACAUGGCUGAUUUGCACUUGGAGCCUAAUGUGAGUUUUAAAGACAAGCUUAUGAAAUCAACUCGGCGACUUAACUCGGUUGCUGUCUCUGAUUUUGAUUUUGAUCUUGAUCUCGUUGACGGGGAUGUUUCCUUCUCUCAUGAGGUGAAAUGGCAUAUUGUUACGUUCUCUAGAAAAGUUGUGAUGAAAUUUGGUAAGGAUUGGCAUGAUGCUCUGGUCAUCAAACUUCUUAGCCGAUCACACACUUAUAAUUUUUUGUUGAACAGGCUGAGGCAAAAAUGUCAAUUAAAAGAAGGUAUGCAGCUUAUUAACAUUGAUCAUGUUUUUUAUUUUGUUAAAUUUGAUUUGAAAGAGAAUAAGGAGUUUGUUUUAACUGGUGGACCUUGGAUUGACAAUUCAAAAAUGGAGACAAGGAUUUGUGCUUUCAACUGAGGUUAUUACUCGUAUGGCAAUAUGGGUUAGGAUACUGGGUGUUCUAAUUGAGUAUUUUAAUGUUUGUGCAAUGAGGAAGAUAGGUAAUGUGCUGGGAAAACUGUUGAAGAUUGAUGUAAACACCAACUCUCAAUACAGGGAAAAAUUUGCUUGACUUCGUGUUGAGAUUGAUGUGACUAAGCCUCUUGAAGCGUUUAUUCAAAUUAAUAGCAGAUGGUACAAUUUGAAGUACGAGGGUAUGCCAAAAAUUUGUUUAAGAUGUGGUCGUUAUGGGCAUAAGAGGGAGAGCUGUCCUUGGAGCGUUGAUCGUAUGGUGGAAAAUGUUGAUGGUGGUGAAAAUGAGAGUAAUAUUAUAUAUAUGGAUGAGCCUAUAGUAAAGUAUUCUCAAAGUAGUGAUGAUGUUUAUGUUAUUCAGGGUACAUGGAUGCAAGUUAAGCCUAGAGGUAGACCUCAAAAAAUAAAUAAUGGAUAGAGAGGUGUGGAUGUUUCUUUUAAUGGGUAGGGAUCAAGUUUUAGUGCGCUUAAUGGGGAAGAUAAAAGUCUGAAUGAGGGCAAUAUGGGAAGUGGCACAAAUGUUGAGUUAGCUGCAUGUGAUCUGGAUCCAGGUGAAUAGAUGAUGAAUACUGAUCAUGCUAUUCCAGGUUCAAUUAUUCAACAAUCUCGUUCAACCGAGGAUUCUUGUUCAGCUAAGUAUGAUAAGAUGUGUGCCUUCCAUGUGGAGGCAACCCUUAUGGGUUGCUAGGCUUUAUGCCUUGGUUUUAUCCAUCUCCUCCAUCUUUAUGAUGAAUAUUGUAGUAUGGAACUUUAGAGGUGCUGGUUGCACCAAGUUUAAAGAUAAUGUUGUAGAUUUAAUUAAUAUUCACCAAAUGGAGAUUUUGGUUAUUUGUGAGCCAGGAUUAGUGGUCAGAAAACUAUUUUAGUAGUGAAAUUUCUUGGUUUUCCGUGCUUUGAGAUUGUGGAUGAUGUUGGCUUCUCCAGUGGUUUGUGGAUGUUGUGGAAAGAUUCUAGAUUAAAGGUGGAAGUUAUCUGUACCACUGACCCAACUAUUUCUGUUGUUGUAAGAGGUGUUGGUCAGAACCAUUGAAUUUUCACCGUUGUUUAUGCUAGCCAUUGUGUUACUAAAAGAAAGAGAUUGUGGGAUUAUUUGGAUUUUGUAGCCGAUUGUCAUCAAUUGCCUUGGUUAAUUGCUAGGGAUUUCAAUGACAUGUUGUGUGUGGAAGAUAAACUUGGUGGUGCUCCAUUAUGCAGAUCGAUUCAAAGGCUUCCAAUCAUAGGUGGAUAGGAAUUAUAGGAUUGAUUUGGGUUUUAUUGGUCCUAAAUUUACUUGGACCAAUAAAAAAGUUUUAGAAAGAAUUGAUCGAGGGAUUUGUAAUCUGAGUUGGAGGAGACUCUUCUCUUAAGCUUAUGUUCACCAUUUCCCACGAACCAAGUUAGAUCACUGCCCAAUUAAGAUAUGCUUAAAUUCUCAUCAUUCAUUUUCUCCCAAGCAUAGUCCUUUUUGUUUUGAAGCUAUGUGGUUGAGGCAUGAAAAUUUCAAGGAGUUGUUGAUGGUUAUUGGAGUAAUGGCGGAGGUUCGGUUGUUGAUAAAACUUGUGCUCUUGUUGAACUGCUUAAGAAGUGGAAUAUUCAAGUCUUUGGUCAUCUCAUACAGAGAAAGCACAAACUUCUAACAAGAAUUGAUGGGAUUAAAAAAGCUUUGUGUCGUGGGCCUAAUAAAUUUCUUUCUAAAUUGGAGGAUGAGUUGAUUUCUGAAAAUAAUGACGUUUUGAAUGAGGAGGCUAUAUUUUGGCAUCAAAAGUCUCGGUUGAGGUGGCUUCAAGAAGGUGAUCGUAAUACAAACUUUUUCAUCUCAUAAUAUUAUAAGGAAGAGAAGAAAUAGAAUUGAGGGGCUCAUUAACAAUCAAGGUGGUUGGAUAUCAGAGCUUUUUGAUCUGAAAAAGUUGGCAGUGGAGUACUAUCAAACUAUUUUUUCACAUGGGCAAAAGUCUAAGCAAAUGGAAUCUCUUCCUAAUCUUUUUCCUGAUAUACAUGUUGCUGAUCGUGAAGCUCUUACCAAAGAUAUCAAUAUUGUUGAAGUCAAGGAAAGCCUCUUUAAUAUUGGAGGCCUUAAAGCUCUAGGUGUUGAUGGUUUUCCUGCUUGCUUUUAUUAAAGUCUGUGGAAUAUAUGUGCUAAUGAUAUCUUUGAAAUGGUAUGAAUGCUUUUCACUCAAGGAGAUUGCUUGCGAGGUUAAACAGUACGCUGAUAACAUUGGUCCCUAAAAUUGAUAAUCCUCAAAAGAUGUUGAAUUUUAGGCCUCUUAGUCUUUGUUGCACUCUUUAUAAAGUGAUCUCUAAAAUCAUUGUUGCUAGAAUUAGACUUCUCUUGCCUUAUCUGAUUAAUCCUAAUCAGGCUAGUUUUGUUCCUAAUAGAAAUUUUUUUGACAAUAUCCUCAUUGCUCAAGACAUUCUUCACAAGUUCAGAAUGUCAAAAGGCCAAAAUGGAUUUUUAGCCUGGAAAAUUGAUCUCUCUAAGGCGUAUGGUAGGCUUAAUUGGAAAUUUAUUGAGUAUGUGCUGAAUAAGGUUGGGUUGCCUUCAAAUUUGGUUCAACUUAUGAUGGAAUAUUUAUCCACCGUUAAGUACCAAAUUUGUUUCAAUGGUAAGUUUUACUCCUCAAAACUGUAUUCAGGAAGGGGGGAUCCUUUGUCCCCUUAUUUAUUUGUUCUAUGUAUUGAGAAACUUUCUCAUUUAAUUUUUGCAACUGUGAAAGAGGAAGGUGGAAACAUGCUAAGGUUUCUCAAUCUGGACCUGGGGUCUCUCAUCUCUUUUUCGCUGAUGAUUUAAUUUUGUUUUCUAAAGCUACUCUAAAGCAAAUAAGAUUAAUGAAGAAGUCCCUUGAAAUUUUUUUCAAAGCUUCUGGUCAAGCUGUUAACUUUGAAAAAUAUGUUCUUUAUUGUUCUCCAAACACGUCUAGGGCUGUUGUUAAUAGUAUUAGUACAAUUUAUGGUGUUGAUGCACAAAACCGGAGGUCUUGGAACAACGUAAAUCCGACCGUGAAUCUACAUAAAAUAUAAAUAACACAAGAUGUAUCGUGGUUCACCCCAAGGUUUGGGCUACGUCCACACUGAUUGUAUUAUAUUUAUCUGAGAAGUGAGGGGGAGAGAGAGCUCUAGGAGUGAGAGCGUUAAGAGGGGUGAGAAGGCUCCAGAAAUGGCCUCCCCUUGUUUGUGAGGGUGAGGAGGCCCUUUUAUAGAAUAAGGGCUCAUCCCCUAAUUACAUAUUUGCCCCUUCCUUUAUUACAUAAUUACAUUUAAGUCCCCCGAGUAUUUAUACGAGGUCUAAAUACGAGGCCCUAAAUAUGGUAUAAACAUAUGGUUUUCCUGUCUCUAAGAGUGUUGGGAAUUAUUUACGAAUGCCUCUAAUUCAGACUAGAGUUUGAAAGGCUACUUAUUCGGGAGUUAUUGAUAAUGUUCAGAAGAGGUUGGCAACUUGGAAAAACAAGGUAUUGUCCAUCGCUGGAAGAAUUACCAUAAUUCAAGCUGUUACCUUGUCUAUACCAGUUUAUGCCAUGCAUACGACCAAGCUUCCUGCUAGUGUGUGUGAAGAGUUAGACAAGUUGGACAUGAAUGUUUUGUGGGGGAUACCGAUCGAGAGAAAAAAGUUCAUUUGUGCCAAUGGAGUAUGGUUUGCAGACCUAAAAGUAAGGGUGGUUUGGGGAUUAAGAGAGCUUGUGUAAUGAAUCAGGCUCUUUUGGCCAAGUUAGGGUGGAUGAUUCAUGCUAAGGACUCUGGUCUUCGGUCUCAAAUUUAUCAGGCCAAGUAUUUGAAAGGCUAUUCUAUUUUAGACCCCAAAAUUCAUGAAAGAACCGAGUGUUCUUAUUCUUGGAAAGAAAUUCUGUAUGGAGCUAAUCUUCUUAAAAAAUGCAUGACUUGGAGAAUUGGCAAUGGUGAGAGUGUAAAAUUUUGGAAGGAUUCAUGGGUCUUAAUGUCCUUUUAAUUGAAAUUAUUGAUGUUGCUAAUAUCUCUAAUAUUAAUUGUGUUGCCUCCGAGUUUUUAAGUAAUGGUUGGUGGGAUCUUGAUAAGCUCAAAGAUGUGUUGCAAAAGGAUAUAGUUCAAAAAGUUAUAGUCGGCCUGCUGGUACUACUAGUGCAAGUGUGGAUAAAAUUAUUUGGAGAUGUGUUUCUAAUGGAGUUUUCACCGUUAAGUUAGCUUAUAAUAUUUUCUUUGAUGGAGAGGAUUUGCCUGACUCUUGCUGGGAUUUCAUUUGGAAAAUUAAUGUUCCACCUAAGCUAAAUUUUUUUCUUUGGUUGAUGAUUAAAGGAGAUUGCUUUCUAAUGAAAAACGAGUUAGAAGACAAAUAACUUCUGAUUCUUCCUGUAUGACUUGUUGUGGACCAAUCCAAUCCAUUGCUCAUAUUUUUAAAGAUUGUUCCAGGGAUGUAUGUAUUUGGGAAAGUAUGGGAGUUCCAAGGCAACUGAGAAAUGCCCAAAAUCUUAGGUUUAAGGCUUGGUUGUUGGGAAAUCUGAAAGUAAGUUCAAAAUGGACCAAUGAGGGUGCUUGGUGUACUCUUUUCCUUUUUAUUUGCUAGUAUAUUUGGAAAUGGAGAAACAAGCAGAUUUUUUAUGUCAAUUUUGUUGUGCCUAUGGAUCCAAAAAUGAUCAUUGUGAGAGAUGUGGCUGAAUGGUUGAAGGCUUGUGUGAAGUCUUCCAUUAAACUUGUCAAGAGGCAAAUUUCACUCUCUUACGAUCAUCUUGAUGUAGGUUGGUCUAAGCUAAAUGUGGAUGGAUCUAGAAGGACAAAUUAUAGUUGAAUUGGGGUUGGUGGCGUACUAAGAGAUCAUAAUAGCAACUGGUUAGGUGGCUUUGCUAUGAAUUUGGGACAAGGGUAAGUUUGUGAUGCUGAAUUAUGGAGUUUAUACUUUGGUUUACAGCUUACUAUUGAUAAGGGUGCUAUUGAUCUUCAUAUUGAGAUGGAUUCCAAGGCUAUUGUUAUGUUGUUGAAGCAAACCGAAGUUGAUAAUUUCCAUCAUUUGGAGACAAUUAUGCAUAGCUGUAGAUUAAUGAUGAGACAAUUGAGGAGGUGUGAAUUGAAUCACAUUUACAGAGAGAAGAAUAUUGUGGCAGAUCAGUUGGCUAACUGGAGUUAUAAUAUGGAUAUUGGUGUUCUUGUAUUUGAUGAGCCUCCCGUUUGGAUUGGACCAACUCUUAUUGAUGUUGCUGCUGGAGUCCCUCAGACUCGUUUCGAUGUUGUUUUGUAGUUCUCUUUGGGUUGUUAUCCCCGUUUUUCAUCCAAAAAAAGAAAAAAACAGUAAACACAAACAUAUUGUUACAGUAGUACACCACCAACAACCUCAUUAAUCCUGAGAUUGAUUUUCUUUUAUUCCAAUAUCAAGGCAAACACAUUAUGAAGACAAAACGAAUCUAACAAAUAUAUAUUACUGAUACUCAUCGAAUCAUUAACAAAUAUAGGAUUAAAUACGAAUAAUUAGGAUUAAAAACAAAUAACUACCUAAAUUUAGGAGUAAUUCUAAAUUGGUUCUAAUCUUUAAAAACAUUCUAAAUAACUACCUCAUAGCAUCUCAAAGAAUCCAAAGGAGAUGUCAAAAGUCUAUGUUAACUAUUUUGACAAAAAAAAUGGUUUCAAAGGAGAUGUCAAAAUCCUACACGGUUGACAUUUUCCACUUUGCUGCCAAUUUGUAGGCAAUGUUAAUUGUUUUUUUUUUAAUGUUGCACCCACAUAUUUCUUUAUUUUUCUUCACUUACCGUUAUUUUAUUAUUAAAUUCUGACCCACUUGAUUUUAUAAUAACCAAAUAGCAUUUUGGUUAUUUUGUCACAUCAGCUAUAAAAAUUAAAUUUGACAUUUUAUUUGAUAUCUCUAUUGGAGACCGAGAUGGCAACAUUUUAGUUUGGGGACGAAAAUGUUAUAUCCAUCUCCAUAAUCACGAAAAUUAACCAUAUUAAAAAAUCGCAAAUUAACCAUCAGGGAUUAUCCAUAACCAUACUCACAGGGUAACAGAUUCCCCAUCAUAUCUGUAUUCAUUAAUACAAAAGAUAUAUUCCUUCAGUUGACGCAUUAUAAUUUAAUAGAUAUUAAUUUCAUCAUUAAAUAUUUGAUGCUUAAAAUGAUUCAAUGAACGGGUCUUGUGGAGUAUAAAAAUUAAAGUAGUGAAUUAAAACAUAGAUGAUGUUGGUUGAUCUUUGAUAUCUUCAAUAAGCACCAUUGAAUUCUUAUUGAUUUUGAUUUAAAACUUUUGAACUUUCCUACAAAAUGCAACUCAUACAAUGUAACUUUUGUAUUCUCAAGGUAAUGGGUUCGGUGAAUAAUGAAUAUAUAUAUAUAUAUAUAUAUAUAUAUUAUACUAAUAUACUAUAUAUUACUCAGUCGGAUUCGGGGGACGGAUAUGGAUCAAGGCCAUGCGUACCAAGCUUCCACAAUCUGCUUGGAGCUAUGUAAUUCUGUACGUAGCUAUGUUGGUUCGUUUGAGACCCAUUGCCACCCAAUCUCUUUCAUCGUUACAGUUGGUUACCAGUUACGAGCCUGACAUCUCGUAGUUACGUGUGUUCGGAUGGGCAACUUAUGUGCCAAUAAUGCUGCCACUAUGCACCAAAAUGAGUCCUCAUAGGAGAAUGAGAAUCUAUAUCGGUUAUGGUUCGCCACCUAUUAUUCGCCAUACUUAGAGCCCUUGACAUGCGAUCUCUUUAUUUUUCACUUUGCAAAUUGUCACUUCGAUGAGACAGUCUUCCUGCCGUUAGUGGGAGAUAAGAACAUUAACAUUUUUAGAGAACAUCGCGAAUUCUCACAUUGAUAGGAGGAGGAACCUUGCAUGAGCUUAUAAAUAAGUUAGACUAUUCCUCAUAUUGCCAAUUUGUUUUAUGGUGGAAUCUCAAUUUUCUUUAUGGUAUCAAAGUAGGUUUGGCCUACGUGUGAAGUCGGUUUGGUCUACGUGUGAAGUCCAACGGCCAAACGUGCUCCAUGUAACCCAAUUUGUGCUGUUCACAUGUUUGGCUUGAAAAUCCGUUACACGUGAUGGAGCAUGUGAGAAUGUGAGGUCACAUCGGUGGAAGAGUCUCACAUCGGUGAAAGGAGAAACCUAAUGGGCUUAUAAAAGGUUGGAUUACACCCCAUAUUGACAAUUGGUUUUAUAAUGGAACCCCAAUUUGCAAAGGCUUACUAGAGAUUGAGCUAUUUCCUAUAUUGCCAAUUAAUUUUAUGGUGAAACCCAACUUUUUCGGAUGAUAUGGGUUACACCGGUAAGGCUGCAUGUUGAUGAUAUAGAUUCAGCCGAAAUCCCUGGCACCUAAUUGUGGCGAGGGAGAGACUUCCUUCUUGAGGAAAUAGUCAAAUUUUGCUCUUAAUGUCUUUCUACAUUAAUUUUCUAGAACCCACGAUGUUUUGAUAGUUUUCUAGGUUAUAAUUAAGAUGAAUUUAUGGGGUUAUGAGUAUUAUAGGUUUUUUUACUGGUACAUAAUUGAUACUACAAUAAAUUGUUUUAAACAAACAACAUUAUUAUUUGCAUUGUACAAAAACUAAUAGAUCCCUGGAUAUUCUUAUUUAUCAGGGGAUAAUAGACUGGAUUAGAGUGAUGUAUUAUAAACAAAUAGGAAUAUCCAAGAUCUAUUUGUUAUAAACAACAAUCUUGUAUGUCGAAUACAACAAUUGACAAACAUUCUUGUUAACCUAACAAUUAAACAUUACUAAUUACUAAUUACUUGGGAAUGCAAAUCACCUCAAAUCUAGUAAAUAAAGUAGAAGCCACUCCAUUGUCAUGGAGCUUUUUUUUCUAAAUUAGGUCAACUUGAAUUGUCUAAUUAGGCCCACAUCCGCGUACCUUAGAUUCCCUUGUUUAAAACUGACGGUGGAAAAUGUUGACACUGAGAAAAGGCAGUGACAUGGGUCAUAAAUCACAGCCAAACAUGCCACAUUUUAGGCUUUAGUGCUUAUCGAAUGACAAGAAAGAUUAAAUCUUAAAACAAAAUAAAAUCUACAACAUGCAUGCAUGGAGGGUCCGGUCCCUAUACCCUCCAUGAAUUGUCUCUUUUUGUUAACUCUCUCCCAACCUGCACUAGCUCUCUCUCCGAGUUGACUCUCUUUGUAGGAGUGCAACUCAGACUCGUUAUAUCCUCCUAAUAAUCUAAUUCCAUUGGUAUUCAUUUCAUCUAAAACUCUAGUUAUAGUACAACAAAGUCUUCCUUACAAUUAUAAUUGCCUUGUAAUUGAUGUCAUUGAUGCCGACUACUAGUAGUAGUACUAGCGUAUUGGCUCAAGUCACUCAUAGAAGCUAACUUUGCUAGCUCUUGUUGAAAGAAAGGCAUUCCACCACUAAGUAUUGCAUCACCUCCUCCUACUCAAAGGAAGUCUCUGGUUAAACUACUUUGCUCACUUUGUCCUUGUUUUGUCAUGGCUGCUGCUCCAGCUGACAUCAUCAAGUGUUUGUUGCUCAAGAACAGUGACCCAUCUCCAAUUGUGUCUCCUUGAGUUGACGAAGGAGACAUAGAAUUCACCAAAUCAUUGAAGUUAAAGGCGGUGUCGUUGAAUGUUGUAGCUGGGUUGUUGCUGGUUGUAGAUCCCAUUCGAGCUGCUUUUUGCAGAAGUGCUGUGGCUGACAUGGGUUUUUGUUGGUGGUGGUUCUGAUUGUUAUUAAUGUUGUAAUUAUAGAAAGAGGUGGUAGUGGUGGUAAUUGUUUCAGAGAAACUCCCUUUGGAUUCUUCCUCCUCCUUUAGUACUCCCCGAAUUAUCAAUGGUGAUGACAGAGAGAGAUUGUUGGCAUUUGCAAAUGAUGAUUCUUCCACGAACUUUUUGUUGUUAAUGAGCCAUUGCAUCUGAGAUGACGACGAAGAUGGUCCAAACAUGUCCAUUGAUGCCGUUUGCAGCAUGACUGGCAUAAAAGCAUUGGAGCUGAGAUGAGAAUUGUUGGCUGCUGGAUGGUCAGAGCCAGCAAAUUCCGACUGAAACAUUGGUAUAAAAUUUGGGAUACUUUGUGGUUGAUGGGCAUUAUUGGUAAUAGACCCAUUCAUGAAGCUUGGAUUAAUAGUUGAGGCUGAGCAAAAUCUUGCACUUUGCUCAGCCGCCAAUGCAUCACAGAAGGCUCUGUGGGUUAUGAAGCUAUCCUUCCUGUUUAACAAAAUUUGGUUCACAAACUGAUGAGUCCAACAGUGUAUUAUUAUAUGCAUGUAUAAAGCACAUUUAAGUAGUCAUAGAAUUUUGGUAAAUCAGUUUGUGAAAAUUCUAUUAUGCUCCUUAUAGCAAUGCACUGGAACAAUGAAUGGUUGAAUAUGUUGCAAAAAAUUAAAUGAACAAAGAUUUGAUAGUCGAGGAUCCUGUGUAUGAUUCCCGGUGCAAAGUAGAAAAUCCCACAAAUUUGAUGAGUUCAGCAAUACUCGAAACAUACAUGAUAAAAUCGUACCCCUGAGUAAUCAUACAGCAUUAAAUAUUUAAAUUCAAAUAGAUCCCCAUAAAAGAGUCUACGUGAGAGCAUUAAAUGUUUAUUCUUUCCCCAAAUUGAUCAUAUAAAAGGAGGGAAUUUGUAAAGAGAGGAAGUGACGGAUUAAACUGGAAAUAAACAGUAGACAGUAGUACCUGGAAAAGAGUGUGCCACAGUCACAUCUAUACUCUCUAGUCCCACAAACUUUGCUAUGUGCCUUCCAAUCCGAUUGAACUGCGUAUUUCUUUGAGCACUUCUCACACUUCCACUUCUUCUCGCCGUGCUUUCGGCUGAAGUGCUUUUUGAUUCCGGUGAGGUCUCCGAGCGCUCGCGAUGGCUCGUGGUGCACGCAAGUCUUUUCCGGGCACACGUACACCUUCUUCCGAAUAACUUCUGUUUUUGAUCUUUGUUUGAGCUUCCACGGAAGGUUGUGGCCACGUCGGUGAAGCUGCAAGUUCUGGUCUCUCUGGAAACCCUUGUUGCAAACUUCGCAAACGAACCGAUUUGUGGCCAUUAGAGAUUUUGGGGACAUAGCUAUCACUUCUGCAUCUGGAUCUGCAAUUGAAUUGAAGUCCCAUCAAACAAAAAAAUAUGAAAAAAGGAAAAUAACAAAACAAGAAGGAAUAUUGAUUAACAUAUGUUGAUCGAAGCUAAUGAAGUGUGUGAAGCUGCAAGGUAGACAUGAAAACACACUUGCCUGGCGUUCCAGGUAAACUUCUCUUCCUUUUGAAUUGAUUAUUUAUAUUAGGGUUAGGGUUAAGGUUGGAAUCGGGCUCUUGAGCAAACCCUGUGAUGGUGGAGGGAACUAAAAGCGCAUCUUCGGACAUCAUCUGGAAGUUGAGCUUAUUAGAUGUAAUGCGUUGUGGUCUAAACUUAAUUAAUCAGCAAAAGUAAGUACAGAAGCAGUACCCUACCAAAACAAAUUAAGAAAAAAAGUUAAAAACUUUACUACUGCAGAUGACAAUAAUAAAAAUCUCAGUGUCUGUAUUGAAUCCUUGAGAACAAAUGAAGCACCUCAGAUCAAAGCUUCUUUGUUUUCUGGGAAAAUACUUCACUUUGCUUGAACUUGGAAGGGAAAAUGCCACGCAGAAAAUGAAAGCAAAAGAGAAUAUUUCUUCUCUCUCUUCCCCUUAUCUUAUACGGCCGCGCUCUCAAUGUCGCUCAGCCAUAGAAUCAGCUGGACCGGUAGACCCCAUUCUCUUCCUUUUCUAUAAUAAUAAUUACAAAAGUGGGAAAGUUUUAAAAGAUGAAAUCAAGUUUUGAAUUGAAAAGGUUAAACCCUAAAGAAAAGUGAGUUGCCUUUACAGCCAGCGAUUCAUGAGGUAAAAAUCAUUACGCUAUAAUUGCAUGAGGGCCAUGAGGAGAAAGAGAGAGAGGGUGGUGCUGCCCGUGAGAGCUGAGUGGCAGCACAGAGAGUGGGGGACCCAUAAAAGACUGUCGAUGACGGUCAGAAGGGAAAGUUGAUAAUACAAAGACAAGAAAUGACUGGUACCGCUUGACAUGUCGACCAAAACUCACGAGACACUACUUCAGCCUACACACAGGUACUGCCUACACUGUUCUCUAGAAAUUCUCUCUCUAGUUAAAAAUCAGAGUGCAAUUUAUUAAUUGAAAGAAAAAUAAAUAAAAUUGUCGGUUAAUUAUAAACGACGGCUACAUUUUGACUGAUUUACUUAACUGAAUAACAUCCAUCUUAUUUAUAAUAAAACAAAUUCUCAACCAAAGAAACGCAAACCAAAUUUUAAUGGACUGGAGCCAAUGCUAAACUUAAAAGAAAACUCAAACAAUAGAAAUAAAUGAAGAAAUUGGGUUCCACCAUAAAAUCAAUGACAAUAUGAGAAGUAGUUCAAUAUCUUAUAAGUCUUUACAAGAUUUCUCAUUUCACCAAUGUGGGACUCUUUUAUCUUCACGUUCUCACACGCCCCUUCAUGUGUGACGAAUUUUCAAGCCAAACACGUGGACAACACGAAUUGGGUGAUGUGGAGCACAUGCGGUGGUUGAGCUUCAAACGUGAGCCAACCUGCUUUGAUAUCAUGAAGAAAUUGGGGUUCCACCAUAAAACCAAUUGGCAACAAGGGGAGUAACUCAACCUCUUAGAGCAUCCCCAAUGGGGGCUUUAUCCUUCUUGAGGCUACUAUAUUUGUAGCUUUAGUGAAAGAUUUCAUCCUUACAAGGCCGAAAAAUGGGGUUACAUCCACCACAUGAGCUAGCAAAUUCAAUCCUUGGGUGGCAAAAAAUUAGGCUACACCUAGCCCCAAAAAGCAAGGGACCCACACCAAAAUGAGGCCCAAUCUUGGUUUUUAUUUUGUUUUUUAAAGAUGGUUUUUACUUUGUGUUUAAUUUUCUAGAUCGAAAAACUCAUAAAAACAGUGAUGAAAUUUAACAUUGGUAGUUUAGCGACCUAAACAGAAAACAUAAACAAACAACAUAACUAAAUUGUGAUAAGAUAAUCCAAUCCAAUGGUGGUUAUGAAAUAAAAUCUUGUCCGAUUUCAUAGAAACAUACUAACGGUUUAGAUUGAGAUAAGAGAACCUACAAUGGUGCAUAAGUAAUGAAAUCUAACUUUGUCAGAAUUUGACUUUUUUAGGUUGAAUAGUUCAUAAAUAAAUAUUUAAGGUAACACGUCCAAAAAUCAAUUUAAAAAAAAAAAGUUAAGACAAAAAUAAAUUUAGCGUAUAAUCAAAUUAUUGCAUAAACUAAUAUAUAGCCCCAUAUAAAGCCCGAAAUGUUAAAGUCCCUUAUUGGGAGAGAUUCUUUUUUAGAGCCCCAAAGAUUCAUCGGAGCUUUAAAUUAGGCUAUAUCCACCACUUUUUAGCCCCAUAUAGAGCCCCUCAUUGGAGAUGCUCUUAUAUGCCCUUGCAAGAUUUCUCAUUCUACAAAUGUGAGACUCUUUUACUUUUACAUUCUCAAAAUAAACCUAUAAAUUAUUAUCUUCCAACAUCUCUCUCUAUGGGCUUAGCUAUAUAUAUGUUCAUAUUUACUGACUAGAGAAUUGAGUCUUGCGGUAAAAGUAGUAUAUAUUCUCACAUUUACUGUAUUCAACAAAAUGCAUGAGCUAUAUCUAUGUCAUUUGCAUCUCAAUUAUUUUAACAGUUGAACUCAUCUAUUUGCAUCUCAAUUAUUCCAACAUAUCUAAAAUUCAUCAUUUUUGUUGGCUUCUAUUUGUAAGUGUAGAUAUCAAAAUUUCAGUGAAAUAAAUGUUCACCAACACAUUAAAGUUUCUACAUACCAGGAGCAUACGCCAUGUGUCUCACAAAUUGUACAGAUAUAUGUGACUCAUCAAAAUCGGAUGAGUAAUCAAGAAGGAUAUGUGUCAAUACUUGGUUGAAAUGAAUUAUUUGAUUUCAAUGUAAUUAAAUCAAAUGUUAAAUGAUGGAGUUAAAUCACGAACCAACCCACAAAUCGAGUCAUAAUUUUUUUGUCAAUUAAUCAAACACACAAUCAAUGCCAAAAUUCAUCCGUAGACAAGGCUUGGAGAGUCUAUAAAUACAAGGCUCCAAGACAAAGAAAGGGUCCAGAAAAUCAUUCACGCCCAAAUACUAAAGCUUUGAAACUCUGAAGCUCUUAGACUCGGAAAACCCUCCGCGUUCUUCAUCAAACCAAUGAAGAACCACCAAGCACCCCUACACAUGCUGGUUCUUCCAUUACCAAGAGCCAAAACCUUGCAUCCGUUCAUCCAAGAUCAAGUCAUCGCGACCCUUAGAUCAACAACACUACACACCUUACAUUUCAGUGAUCGAAUUAGAGGAUCAAGUUGUAAAUAGAUUGUAACCUACAUUUACAUUAAUACAAAUUUUCUUUGUACAAGUGUUCUUGUCUCAUUUGUCACAAGAUUUUCGUGUUUACAAAUUUGGCACGCCCGGUGGGACUUGAGAUCUCAUCCAAUGAGAAAGAAAUAUGAAGUUUCUUUUUGUAUAUUAUAUGGAUGAUCCGAUCAAACCAUGAUAUUGAGAUUUGUUUGAUAAGGCAACAACAUACCUGAUUCUAUAAAAAAAUGCUACUCUUACCACAUAUUUGUACCAUCAUUUGUACAAUUUCUCUAAUAGUGAUGAGACCCAUAUGCAUUGCCGGGCUCUACCUCUAUUAAAGAGAUGAUGCAAAUGAUGAUACAAAUAGGUGGUAAAUGCAACAUUACUCUUGAAUUUAUAUAGUAAUGCAAAGAUGCGAAAAGGAUUGAGGAGCAAGCUAGCUUUUUCCAAAGUUUUAAUAGGUUUGCUUAUGUAUUUGGAAGAAUCGUGUUAUAGGAAAAGACCCUAAAACCCCAAGUGAUAAGAUGGAGACUUGGGCUAGUGAAAGCACAUAGGAGCAAGAUACAUCUUCUAAUUGUAGUGUUACAAAGAGGAAAAGAAGAGCUAACAGUAAAUACAAUAAUUGUUGCUACAUAUGUCACUAGAAUGAAGAUGAUUGUGGAGGGAUUAGUAAACAAUAAAGAUGAUGGUUACAAUUUGAGAAAAUAGAAAACAUAGUUCUGUUAUUGCAAACGAACUUAAGAAAUGAGGUUGUCUUUCUGACUAUUGGUAGGAUUUUUACCACCUGAAAAAAGUAGGGAUAAAAACAUUAAAAUACUUGCAAGAGUACAAGUUAAUCGUAGUAUAGUUGGCUUUAGGAAGGUCGUUCUCCUUAGGGGUUAAGUGAAUAACUUAUGUAAAUACCAAAUCUUAAUUAAUUAUUUGAAAAACCACGCAACCCUUAAGACGUAGUAUUCAUCUUAAGUGAACUUGCACAUAUUAACCACAAGAAGCCUUCGUCAAUUUCAGGGACCGACCUCCCACCAAAAUUGCAUCAAAUUACUUUUCUAAACAUCCUAAUGAUAGCUAAGCAUUAAGACAAUUAGAUAGUUUAAACUGGUGAUUAAUAAUUCAAACCUGCAUGUAUAAUAUCAUAAGCAAAUUGAAAAGAAACUACAUAUUCUUGCUAAGGCUCGUGGCCCCUAGCAAAAGAGAAUUAGUUACUAAUAACAAUCAUAAAACAAAAUAUUAUUUAGAACAAGGAUAUAAAACACCUUGUAAAUAAACUUCAAUUGUUAAAAGCUCCAAAGUAGUGCGUUCUACCCCUCUUUCUCCCCCAAACCCUAAUGGCUAAAAAGCCUUAUUUAUACUACUACACAAUUAAAAUCCUUACUAGAAAAUGUCUUCUAAAAAUUAGGAAACAUAAAAGAAUAAGAUAACUAGGAAAUACAUUCUAACUUUGGAAAAUCUGCCUAGUCACAAAUAAUCUCACCUUUAUGGAUCUUUAGGGCUCCAAAACAGCUCCAAAACAGCCCCAAAACAGCUAGAAUUAGAGCUUGAGAUACCCCGAACAUAAUUGUAGAGGGCCUUGAACCCAAAAGACAUCAUUUUGGACGCCAACAAGCCCAAAUAAGCCCAAAACGUCACCUUGACAGCAUUGCACGCUGCUCCUUUAUUCUCACGAAAUAACUACUAAAUUAAUACUAAGAUUAUGAGAAAAUAUAUAGUAUAAUAUUGACUCAUCAACUAUGAUUUUAUUGAUAACAUAAGUGAAGGAUUGCUGAGAAUGUAACAAUGUUGCAGAGAAAUUAACAAACGUAGAAGAAAGAAGAAGAACUCUUGAGAGAUAAGGAAAGAGAAAUGUGAAUUGUAUUUCUGCAUUGCUUGAUUGAAAUGAUCAAAGUUAUUACACUGUUUAUAUUACCACACAUGGCUUACACUCUAAGAUAUCUGUUUUAACAGAACUGACAACCUUUCUGUUAAUAGUGUUAACAAACUAAUAGCUACUAACAGCUUUCUUAACAGACUUAACAGCUUACAUCAUUCAUAAUACCCCCUCAAUCUUAAUUGGGUUUCCUAGACUUGAGAUUGAAACAAUGCUUGACAAAAGUAAGGUUGUGAAGACCUUUGGUGAGCACAUUCGUUGUUUGUUCAUUAGUUAAGAGUUGGGACAUAUGUAACUUCCAAAUCUUGACACACCCCGACCCGGGAUGUCCACUAGGACUCCGAAUUGAGUUGCGCUGGCCAACACCUAGAAGAUGACGAAGCCAUAAAGUGUGAUGAUGUGGAAAAAUGUGAAUAAAUUUAAACCUAAGAGUGCCUAAAUACCAAAGUACGUUGGUAAGCGGGAAGGAACCCACUUCACAUGUGACGUUAGAGUAUAAGUAAAUACAGUAGAAUGGAUUAAGAAUCGUACCCUCAAAAGAAUCUCCAAUACUAAGAAUCGCCACGAAUCUUCGAUGAUAAGAAAACUCAGCUAAUAAAAUCUAGAGGGUGAAAACAAGACAAGGGUGAAUGACCCUGAAGAUAAAAUUUUAAUAGAAACUAUAUAAAACAUUAUAACCCCUCGCUACAACACCUGUAUAAUUUUCAGAAAAAUUAUAAAUAUACCACAACACAUCAUCUCAUCAGUAAUAUCAAAUAAUCAUGUGAAUAAUAAUUCAUACGAGCAUGCAAAUCAGAGUUACCUAUCGUGACCUGUACGACUCACCCAUAUCUCAUCACAUAUACUUGCUCAUCGCAUAUUUCAUCACAUAUGCUAGCUCAUCACAUAUUCAUCACAUAUGCUAGCUCAUCACAUAUUCAUCACAUAUGCUAGCUCAUUAUAUAUUCAUCACAUAUGCUAGCUCAUCACAUAUUCAUCACAUAUGCUAGCUCAUUACAUAUUCAUCACAUAUGCUAGCGCUCAUCACAUAUUCAUCACAUAUGCUAGCUUAUCACAUAUUCAAAAUAUAUGCUAGCUCAUUAGUUGGAUUCACCUUUUGUGACUUGUACGACUUAUCCAUAGCUCAAUAAGUAUACUUGCACACGAGUCGGAACCACCACACUUUCAUUAAGUAUAACAAGAUUUUGUGGUAUUCACUAAUGUAAAUAUUUUAAAUUGAAGAUCGAAUUCAUUCAUUGUAUUCAUAUAGGGUUAAGCAGUGUAGUUGUAAAAAAUCAUUAAAAUCGGAGUUAAAAUAACUGUUAAAUCGUGAUUUUUCUUUUAUAACCGUUGAAAGGUUUUUUCCCGUUACUUGAUCUCUAUAUGUUUGUUUUUUGCAAUUUUUGGCAUAUGCGAUCUGAAAGUAUAUACAAACAUGUUUGAUGGUUGGAUCGUUGAAACUAGUUUUACAGAAUGCGUAUCCCAUCAAAACAAUAGAUUUACUAACACUUAAGAGUUUAUUCAUACUCUCAUUAAGUAUAACAUAAGAUUUCGUGGUAUCCACUAGUGUAAAUAUUUUAAAUUGAAGAUCGAAUUCAUUCAUUGUAUUCAUAUAGGAUCAAUGAGUGUAGCUGUAAAAAAAUCAUCAAAAUCGGAGUUAAAAUAACCGUUAAAUCGUGAUUUUUUGUUUUAUAACCGUCGAAAAGUUUUGUUCAGUUACUUAAUUUCUAAAUGUUUCUUUUUUUCAAUUUUUGGCGUAUGCGAUCUCGAAGUAUAUACAAACAUGUUUGAUGGUUGGAUCGUUGAAACUAGUUUCGUAGAAUGCGUAUCCCAUCAGAACAAUAGAUUCACUAACAUUUAAGAGUUUAUUCGUACUUUCAUUAAGUAUAACAUAAGAUUUUGUGGUAUCCACUAGUGUAAAUAUUUUAAAUUGAAGAUCGAAUUCAUUCAUUGUAUUCAUAUAGGAUCAAGGAGUGUAGCUGUAAAAAUCAUCAAAAUUGGAGUUAAAAUAACCGUUAAAUCGUGAUUUUUCGUUUUAUAACCGUCGAAAAGUUUUGUUCAGUUACUUAAUGUCUGAAUGUUUCUUUUUUGCAAUUUUUGGCGUAUGCGAUCUGGAAGUAUAUACAAACAUGUUUGACGGUUGGAUCGUUGAAACUAGUUUCGUAGAAUGCGUAUCCCAUCAAAACAAUAGAUUCACUAACACUUAAGAGUUUAUUCGUACUUUCAUCCACUAGUGUAAAUAUUUUAAAUUGAAGAUCGAAUUCAUUCAUUGUAUUCAUAUAGGGUCAAGGAGUGUAGCUAUAAAAAAUCAUAAAAAUCGGAGUUAAAAUAACCGUUAAAUCGUGAUUGUUCAUUUUAUAACCGUCAAAAAGUUUUGUUCGGUUACUUGAUCUCUGAAUGUUUGUUUUUUUUCAAUUUUUUAAUAAUGGGAUCUUAAAGCAUAUACAAACAAGUUUGACAAUUGGAUCGUUGAAAUUAGUUUUGUAUAAUUCGUAUCCCAUCAAGUUCAAUGGUAUAUAUAUAUUUAUUAAGUAGAUUUAAAUCUAUUUAUUUUGUAUGUAUAAUUAUUAUAGUUUUUCGGGGUAUAAAAUUUAAUUUAAAAUUAAAUAUAUAUAUAAUUAUUAUAGUUAAUAUUUUUGGGGUAUAAUUAUUAUAGUAUAUAUAUAAUAUUAUAUUAUUAUAUUAUAUAUUAUAUAUAUACAUAUAUAUAUAUAUAUAAUUAUAGUAUUUUUAGGGUUAUAAAAUUAUAAAAUUAAUAUUUUGCUUAUCGUGUAUCGUGUUACCCACGUGUAUACCCGAAUCAACUUGUUAUCUUAAUAGGUGCUUAUCGGGUUACCCGAUAACGACCUGAUUCAUUAUCGUGUCGACCCAAACACCUGUUAAUUUCGUGUCGUGUCGUGUCUGGUUAUCGGGUCAUGUCAAGAAUUGCCAGGCCUAGUCUGCGCUACGACUCCCUAGCACGAAUAUCGAGAUGUCACGAACGAUCAUCACCUAGAACAAAUAUUCAAUCACGUUUCAGAAUUCUUAUCAAUAGAACACGUAACUUACAUAAAACACAUCCCAAGGAUGUUCUAGAAUGAUUUGAGACCCAUUGACCAAAAGUCAACCGUCGGUCAAAGAUCAACGGUAGGGUUCACAACCCUACGUAACUCAAUCUGAAAGAUCCGCAUCUCGGAUUUCUGAUCCGUAACUUCCAAAGAUCCACAUUGUUCUUCUAAAACAUCAUACUAAAGUUUCAUUACGAUCUAACGGUUAGAUCUCCGUUAAUUGCCAAUUCAAGUGGCAGUCAACGUUUUAUUUUACGAACUUACAAAUCCAAUUUGGGAAGAUCUGUACAUUAGAUUUCCAAUCCGUAAAUUUCUAAUAUCCUUAAAUAUUACAUACUAUAAUGUAUUAAAGUUUGGUGAUGAUCCAACAGUCGGAUCGUCAAUUCACAUAAUGAUCAAGUAGCGGUCUUUAUCAAAACUAUGUUUAAACGAGGAGAUUUCAUCAAUCGGACUUCACCUAUGGAAUUGGGUGUCAAACUUAGCUUAGAAGGGUCAAGGGGUGACUCGGCUCACGUGCCGCCGCACAUGGCGGUUGGCCGUCCCGAUUUGCUGAAAAAUUCAACUAUCUCCAAAAAUUCUUAAAUUUUAUAGAAAGGGUAUAUUACAUAGUAACCCCUCAGGUUUGAUGUCUAUUACAACCCCAUACAACAUCUUUAUAACAUUUCACUUUCAUACCUUAAGUACUAUUUUAUUUCAAUAUAAUACAUUCGUUAGAUUUUUCAUCCAUUAAACCGUUAAAUGCUGACAUGGCUACCACAUUUGUGCCACGUGACUGCCAAAUGUGUGCCACAUGGCCAAAAAAAUAAUUAAUUUUAAAAAAAAAAAACCUGAUUCUUCUAAUUAAAAAAAAAGACCCAAAAACAAAAGCUGAAAACACCUCCCCACAACCCCAAACCCAGAAACCUUAUCUCUCUUCCCCCCCCCCGGUCGCGGACGCCCCACCCUCCCACAUGACCCACGUAGACUCAUCUCCUUCCCCCUCCCCACAACCCCGAAAACCCCUCCACCCACAUGACCCACGCAGGCCCACCUUCCUCCCCUCUCCCCGCGACCCCAAAAACCUAGAAACCUUAUUCCCCCCCCAAUCCAAACCCUACUCCCCGACAUAACGCCGAGUGGGCUCUCAAAUAAGCUUGUCGGCUCAUCUUUCGGCUUCGACAACGAGGUAUGUAUUUGAUUUUGUCUUUCAAAUUUUGAAUUUUUUCAAUGCUUGGUUUGUGGUGGUCUGGAUGGAGUUAGGUUUGUUAAGGAUGGGUGGGGUUGCAUAUGAGAGAAGGGAGAAAUGGCUCAGUGAAGGUGGAGGUGGGGUGGGUAGAGGGGGUGGGGAUAAUGUUUCUGGGUUUGUUUGCGGGGGUUUGGGUUUUAAUUUUUUUUUUUAAAGAUUCAGGUUUUAAAAAAAAAAUUAAAAAUUAUUUUUUUGGCCACGUGACACACAUUGGCAGCCACGUGGCACAAAUGUGGCAGCCACGUCAGCAUUUAACGGAUUAAUGGAUGAAAAAUCUAACGGAUGUAUUAUAUUGACAUAAAAUAGUAUUUGAGGUAUGAAAGUGAAAUGUUUUAAAGAUGUUGUAUGGGGUUGUAAUAGACAUCAAACUUGAGGGGUUACUAUGUAAUUUACCCUUAUAGAAAUGAAUAUCUUUAUAGUAGAGCAAGUUUUAUACUUGUGACCACGUCUAAUUUGGCCAGGAAAGGCUCCAAUUUCACUCAAACCCGUUGGAACCCUAAAAUGGGUGAACUUCAAUUCUCAUUCCUUGGUGUUCCAACUCCCCUACAACUGGUUUGGUCUUGAUCUUGGGUUUAUGGAGAGUUGAUUAAGGGUGGUAGUGGGUGGUGAAACUCGCCGGAAUGGAGGAAUCGUCGUUGAGCACCUUCGGUGCUUCGGUGAAGUUCCUCGCGAGUUAGGAUGUAAAAUCCCUCAAAUUUGGAUGGAGAUGGUAGAGGAAAGUUGGUAUAGUAGAUUGCAGGAGAUGAAUGUGUGAAAUUCACUGAAAAAUGGUGGAGAUUGGCCAAAAUUUUGGCCGGAUCAUAACUAGGUUCAUGGAGUGCACAAGUUGGAAGGAAAAAGGGAAAUAGUUUCUCUCCUGUCUUCAUUGGCUGGUUCCCUGUCUUUAACAUACCUGAUUGGUCCCUAAUGUCUUUCCUUGAAACCGAUUGGUCAGUCUUUCCACAAGGUGGAAGUUUAACAAUUAUUUAAAACUAACUUUAAAUAACCAAUUCAAAUGUCCGCAACUAUAUCGUUAUAAUCCGGACUCGUGAACAGUCUUCACCUAUGCGUUCGUACCAACGAGUACUACAAAAAUACGCCCAAAAAAAAAGUCACAUGUUCCUCUAGACGAUGAUCAACAAAAGUAAAAAAUCCUUGCCUCUAGGGCAUUUUCGUCAAUUCCCUCAAUUAAAAUAAAUAAAAACGUAAUUUUAGGGAUGGGUUGUCACAAUCUACCCAUCUUAAAAAAAUUCCGUCCCUAAAAUUUGAAAUCAUUUCCUAAACAUAAUGUACUCCAGAAGAUGGGAAAAAGUCUAUAUAUGUAUAUUCUUAUAAGCCUUAUAUGUAUAUUCCUAUCUCUACCUAGCACGAGGCCUUUUGGGAACUCACUGGCUUCGGGUUCCAUCGGAACUCUGAAGUUAAGCGAGUUCGUGCGAGAGCAAUCCCAAGAUGGGUGACCCACUAGGAAGUUCUCAUGUGAGUUCCUAGAAACAAAACCGUGAAGGCGUGGUCGGGGCCCAAAGCGGACAAUAUCGUGUUACGACCGAGUCGAGCCCGGGAUGUGACAAUUUGGUAUCAAAGCCAAUCCCUGGCCGGAAGUGUGCCGACGAGGACGUUAGGCCCCUAAGGGGGGUGAAUUGUAACAUCCCAUAUCGCCUAGGGGAGUGGAUCUUGUAAGCCUUAUAUGUAUAUUCCUAUCUUUACCUAGCACGAGACCUUUUGGGAACUCACUGUCUUCGGGUUUCAUCGGAACUCCAAAGUUAAGUGAGUUCGUGCGAGAGCAAUCCCAGGAUGGGUGACCCAUUGGGAAGUUCUCAUGUGAGUUCCCAGAAAUAAAACCGUGAAGGGGUGGUCGGUGCCCAAAGCGAACAAUAUCGUGCUACGUUGGAGUCGAGCCCGGGAUGUGGUGGGGGCCCGGGCCAGGAUGUGACAAUUAUUGUGACAACCCGUCCCUAAAAUUACGUUUUUAUUUAUUUUAAUCGAGGGAAUUGACGAAAAUGCCCUAGAGGCAAGGAUUUUUUUACUUCUGUUGAUCAUCGUCUAGAGGAACGUAUGACUUAUUCUUUUGGCGUAUUUGUGUAGUACUCGUUGGUACGAACGCAUAGGCGAAGACCGUUCGCGAGUCCGGAUUAUAACGGUAUAGUUAUGGACGUUUGAAUUGGUUAUUUAAAGUUAGUUUUAAAUAAUUGUUAAACUCCCACCUUGUGGGAAGACUGACCAAUUGGCUUCAAGGAAAGACAUUUGGGACCAAUCAGGUAUGUUAAGACAUGGAACCAGCCAAUGAAGACAAAUGAGAGAAACUAUUUCCGUUUUUCCUUCCAACCCGUGCGCUCCAUGAACCCAGUUAUGAUCCGGCCAAAAUUCUGGCUAAUCUCCACCAUUUUUUAGUGAAUUUCACACAUUUUGUGAGAAUUCCAACUUUCUUCUGCUACUACCUUUUUGGAGAAAAGAAAGAAUAUCAUUUACAUAAAUCACAUCUCACAGGUGAAGUACCAAUUGCCCGGGCCGGGAUGUGACAAUUAUCACAUUAAUGCUAUAAGGACUUCAAUAAAAAAUUGAAAACUAAUAAGGUCUCAGUCAUCAAGUUCAAUCGAAGAAAUUUACAAAUGUUAUUAAGUCUAAUAUCUUUUUCUUUCCCUAUGGUUUUGAAGAAUGCACCCAUGUUCUGUUUUGGUACAAUAAUUUUUUGUUGUUAAUUUUGAUGAAUGUACCUAUAUUUAGAUAUACAUAUAUAUAUAUGUGUGUGUGUGUGUGUGUGUGUGUGUGUACACAAUAUAAUAGAGAGUAUACUUUAUAUUUUAUUAUUUUUAAUCUCACAAAUUAUUGGUUUUAUUUAAAAUCUCAUUAAUAUAAACAAAUACAAAUUUCAAUUUUUAAUUUUUAAUUUAAAACUAUAGUAACUUACAUUAUUACAUUAAUGUCAAGGACUUUGAUCAAAAACUAAAAACAUAUAAGGUUUCAAUGUAAGAAUAUUAAUAGUUAGGGACCGCAUCCAAAGUGUUCCUAUAUAAUUUUAAAUAGUUGACAUAAAAAGUCUAGUUUUGAAGUAAGAUAAUCCAAGCCAUGAAUUCUUAUACCAAACACAAGAUAUAUUUAUCUGGUUUGGGAAUUACUUUUACAUGACUAAAUCACUUGUAGAGAAAAUAUCUUUGGGUUCUAAAUAAGGUACUUGAAGUGCUUCUUGCAAGAAAAAUUAGUUAUGUACUUCUUGCAGAAAGCAUUUCAAGUGAUUUUUUAGAAAUCUUUUUUCUUCUUCUAAGAAUUAGUUUAUAAAUUAAUUUUUCUAAAAAAGUUCAGUCAUAUAAAGGUACAUCUCUCUAACGAGCCAUAGAAUUCUGCCCCUUAGUCCAACUUACACCGAAUAAUAAACAGAAUUAAGUCUUAACCAAGCCUAUCCAAGCUAAUCCUAAAAGCUAUUCCUAUCCAAGUCAAUAAUGUGUACCAAACACACCAUAAUAAUAGUGCCUCCGAUCGAACAGGUUGAACAGGGAUAACCAACCAAUUCAACAGCCCUAGCAUCCAUCAUUUCACCUUCUUCAGCAUUUUAAACUAUGGCUUCCGGAGAUGAAACCCCAACAAGUUUUCAGUUAACUUCUUUUAUCAUUAGCUGUCCGUAUAAGAAAUAUAGUACAACUUCGAUAAUUUAAUAUCUGAUAAAUUAAUAAUCUUAGUUAAGAAAUAUUUUUGGUUGGGCCCAGCUUGAGGAUUACAUGCUAAAUUAAUAAUUCACUAAUUUAUAAGAUAAGACAUUACAGAAAAUUCAUAUAAGUCCCAUAUAAUAUAAAUUAGUAAUUUUCUGAUGCAUACUGCUUAUGAUUCGAUUAUUAUGACUCAAUCAUUGUUUGUUUCUUCUUGAAAUUGAUGUCACCUAGGAUCUCAUCUCUACCUUUUCUUAACAUAAUAAGAAGUUCUUGUGUGAUUUUCUCAUACUACAACAAAAAUUAUUCAAUGUCAUCAUUGCUUGAUCGUAUUUGAUAUCGUCCCUUGACUCACUUGUAAGUUGAAUUUUCUCACACCCACUGUUGCAAUUGUUUUUUUUAGUGCUAUUUUAGAUACUCUUUAUUAUACUCGCACAAUGCUUUAUGCAUUUCAUCCGUAAUUGUUCAUUUCUUUACACCUUUGAGGUCAAAAACCACUGUUGUAUGUGUGAUGUGUUGUGUUACUAAGGCUUUUUUUUAUAUAUAUUUAAAUCGAUCUUUUCCUUGAGGAUAACAUGCUUAAUUAAUAUUUAGCUAAUUUAUAAGAUAAGACAUUACAGAAAAUUCAUAUAAGUCCCACAUAAUAUAUAAAUUAAUAAUUUUUUGAUACAUACUGCUUAUGAUUUGAUUAUGAGGCAUUUCUAAAAUAUGACUCAAUCAUUGUUUGUUUCUUCUUGAAAUUGAUGUCACCUUGGAUCUCAUCUCUUACAUUUCUUAACAUGAUAAGAAGUUCUGGUGUGAUUUUCUCAUACUGCAACAAAAAUUAUUCAAUGUCAUCAUCUCUUGAUCGUAUUUGAUAUCGUCCCUUGACUCAGUUAUAAGUAAAAACACCCACUGUUGCAAUUGUUUUUAGUGCUAUUUUAGAUACUCUUUAUUAUGCUCGCACAAUGCUUUAUCCAUUUCAUCCGUCAUUGUCGAUUUCUUUACACCUUUGAGGUGAGAAACCAUUGUUGUAUGUAUGAUAUGUUGUGUUACUAAGGCUUUUGUUUAUUUAAAUCGAUCUUUUCCUUGGUUAAAUGUUCAUAAAAUGGAAUAUUGUAGUACAUUAAACAAUCUACAACAUUUUUUGAAAAAAGUAAGUAGAUUCAUAAAUUUUACUUAGUUAAACAAAUAUAUAGAAUUGUUAGUUCAUAAAACGAGAAACAAAAUACAAUGUGCAAUAUUUAAAAAAAAGUUAUUAUUUAAUCGAGAAUAUAAGUUAUUUAGUCAAUAAACUAAUAAAUUAUUAAUUUAUCAAUUAUUUAUAUUCCGCUAAACUAAUAGAAUUCCUUGGUCCUAAAAGCUAUUAAUUUAUAAAAGUUUAACUGUAAUCUUCAUUAGCAAUGUAAUCUUUUUUUAGGCGAAUUAGCAAUGUAAUCUUAUUUUACCAUUUUUUAUCAACUUAAAUUUCGCUACAUGCACGUUUAUAACAAUAAUUAGAUAAGCUAAAUUUGUGUGUGUGUGUGUGUGUGUGUGUGUAUUUAAUUAUUAUUGUAUAAUAUGUUGUCAGAUUGACCGUAGAUAUAUGAUAUGCAUUUACCUGGAAAAUCAACAAGAUAAGCUUAGACCGUGGUUCAGACAUAAAAUGACAAAACCACCUAGGAUUCGCUUUACAUUGCAUAAUUUAUUAAUCGAUUUGAACAAGGGUUAUCAUCCUAUGUGUGUAUACACGCACGAGGGAUAAUUCCUAUAUACAACAGCGGAUGAAGUUCGAGAAUUCAUGUAUACAUCGAAACAAAUUUAGACCUGGGUUUCACCGGGCUCUUCUCAUCGAAGAUUACAAAAGCUAAGCUUUUCCGAAUUAUUUUUUGGUGCAUAAAGUCUUCUGUUUAACUCUGACAGCCCAAAUGGGUAUCAUGAGUUCGAUUAUUUUCCAACUGAAUGACUAGCAUUAUCAACCUCAUGCCCAUGCACGUACAGGGCUCAAAUUACUAUUAAGAAGAGAGUAAGGGAGACAGUACGUGAUCCAUUCGCACGUAAGGAAGGGGUCGACAUAUAUAAGCAAGUUACCUUCCUUUAUUGUUAAGUUGUGUAAAAUUACCUAUGCAUGAUUGGUAAAUAGUAAUUAAAUAUAUAUGGUACUAUAAAUAAUCAAUAUGGUGCGUAGCAUAUUUUAAUACAAUGAUAUAUAUAUGCACACUAAAUAGUGAGGAAAUUAAUAGGUAUUGAACUCAUCAUUUCUUAAAAUUUGAACCUAUAACUCUCUUGUAUAGUGGAUUGGAGAAACCCAAUAUCAUACAAGAGCAAUGUAAUAAAAGAACAACAUUUUUAGAUUGUGUACAAAACCAAUUCCUCAAAAAAUUUGAUAAAAAAAUCAAUACUAUAAACAUCUUUUAGUAACCUAGAUUUAAGCAUUGUAAUUGGUUUUUUACUGUGCCAAUUUAUCCUCGCUCAAAUUUUUUCUUUUUUUGUCAACUCAUAAUAUUUUGUAUAGUUUAAUGUCAUUUGUAAUGAUGAAAUUAGGACAAUAUUGUUUGAGUAAAUGUAGAAAUAUAGAGAUUAAUCAGAAAAAAUGACUUUGAGGUACGACUUGAAUUGUUUCUUUAAAGUGUUAUUUUUCCUCACUCGAAUGAGUUUGCUAAAGGGUUCUUGGCAAAUCACUUCCAGGAUACAACAAAUUAUGGAACAUUUGAUUAGCAAAACCAAAUUAUAUUCCUUUAGAAAUAACUAGAAAGGAAUUGUAUGAAUGUGAUAGAAAGAGAAGAGAGAACAAGAAAAUUGUGUAGAUAAUAAAUUUCUGAAUGGAUCUUCUCUUCUGUCAAUGUUAUCAAUAUAUAGAGAGAAUUGCUCCUGUUUAAGUUAAUCAAAAGUACAUAACUUUUGAAGUCAUAUUGGUUCAAAGAGGUCACGUCUGUUGGAACAUAUACAAUGCAUUAUCUAAAAGGUAUUUCAAUGGGUAUACACGAUGCAAAGAACCAAAUACCCAAAGAUGAUAUAUGUUAAGAAAAGGAAUACAUUUGUUCACAAUGCAUCAUGUCUUUUUGCCAAAUAGGAAAAGGUGCAGUGUUUAAUUUCAAAGAGUAUGAUUGUUGGGUACACACCAUUCAGAAUCUAAAAUAUACUGACCUUCCUUGAACCAAUAAUAUUUCAACACUUGUCCAUUUAAUAUUCAUAAGUUCGUAACCAAACACCAAUCCUACUUUAUACUCAUAACCAAACAUCCCCUUUUUCAGUUUUCUCUUACCCUUGCGGUUGCAAAUCUGCUCAGCCUCAUUUUCUUUCAUGUCAAUUAAAACAAAACCUUUCAUGGAACCAUAGACGGGGUGGGAACGACGAAGGUGACAUGGUUAGGUUGACGGAGGGUGACAAGGUUGGGUCGACGGAGGAUAUGGGGUGGAAACAACGAAGGGGAUUGGGUACUCACUGGCAGGGUUAGUCCUAAGAUUUUAGGGGCCAUGUGCGAAAGUAAGUCGAAAACCUAGAAUAAUGCUAAAAUCAUAAUUGGCUUUUAGUUGUAUUCUUUAAAUAAUAAUAGGACAAAGAAUUUUAUUAAAACAACAUGUAGUGUCGUGUAUUAGUGUUUUCCAUUGAUUUUAAGAGGUCUAGGGUUCGAACCUUGGUGUCAUUUUUUGUGAAAAUUCAUGCAUUUAAUUUAUAAAGAAUUAAAAAAAAAUGAAAAUAAACCAAGGCAAGAUUCAAACUCUCCCCAGAGGAAACAAAGUAGCGCUAACAAAUCAUGUUUGUCAACUACCUACACAUUUAAAUAUAUAUACAUAUAUGCAUGUAAAAAUAAAAAAUUGUGAACCACUUGCACUCCCUCAGGGUCGGCUCUACUCUCUGAUGAGGGAUUAGGCCCCCAAAUUUGGGGUCGCCCAGAAAAGAAAGGAUUGGGGGCGGUCUCGCUGAAGAAAAUGGGCUGAGUUGGAUUCGCCUGAGAAGAAAGGGGUUGGGGGUAGGCUUGUCGAGUGAGGGAUUGAGGGUUGGUCUCACUAUAGACAAGAGGGGGAUUGAGGGGUUUUUUGGCACAUAGUUAAGAAGGGAGAAAGAAGAUGCAUGGUGUUUGGUUAUCAAGAUAGUAGGAGUUUGGGAAAAAUUUUAUUUGACAUGUGUUAAAAUUUUAGUGGGCCAUGCAGGAUGGCUAGCAAAAUCUUCUUCAAGCUUUCCCCCCGAAUCUUCUUCAAAAUAUCCAUCUUAACUAGAAAAUGUAAAUAAUUUACGUCUUUGCAUCUUCUAUUAGAGAUGCAAAUUUUAGAUGUAAAUCCCCAUUUCACUUUACAUAAUGUAAAUAUGAGUUAUACUUCAAUGCAUGAGAGAGAUGUAAAUAUGGAAUCUCAUUUACAUUUUUCUCUCUUCGACUAGCGAAGCCUACCUCAUAAAGAUUUAAAAACAAAUGCAAAUAUAGAUUUUUGUUUAUAUCUUCUGGUGAGAUGAAUAGUUUACAUUCUGCCAUUGAAGAGCUUUCUGGCCAAGAUAAGAAAUACAUAAAAUGUCAAUUUCAAGGCAUUUUGCAUCCACUGAGAUACUCUUAGAAAUGUUCUGAUAACGACUUUCAUUAUUUACUAAUGCUUAGUCCAGUAAUAUUUCUCUUCUCAAAGUUAAAUUUUGUUUUUUACGUGUAAAUUCUUGUAAAAGAUAAAAGAUCAUUUAUCAUGGAAUGUGAUACCCUUAUUAUUAAUUGUCAUCGUGAUUCAUGAUACAAUUGAAUUUUCAUAACCCGACUUGGAUUUUAAAACCACAGCAAAACUCAACUUGGAUUUUAAAACCAUAGCAAGUGGCCCAUGUAAGACAUAUUCUGAAAUCACAACAAGAAGACAUUAGGAUCACGAAUAAAUCAAAUUAAUAUAAAAUAGAGAUUAACUAAUUAUAUUAAACCUAUCUGUGGAAUACGGAAGACAUUGCAGAUUUCUAGGUUGUCUUCUACUUCCAGUACUUCAAUAAUAUCUCUCUGCUAUAUGAAUAGGGUUCAACGUAUAUGAGAGAUUAGGCGUAUGGAAGCAGGGACUUAACCAUAGUAUUUAUAUCAUUAGGGUUUAAUCACAGCCAGCCUAUUAUUGGUUGUGAAAGUCAAACCCUAUCACUUAAAUGUUUAAGUCCCACCAUGAUACUAUAUCUUUGUAGUGAAAUCCAUCAGAUUUCUUUAGGUCAAUUGCAAAGGAUAAGACUCCAUAAUCCUUAUUUCAUUAGGACUAUUAGAUUACUUAAGUUGUUAACAAAUCAAUAAACAAGUGGCCUACAACAUAAGUAAUCCAAUACAUCAUUCAUUGUCAUUCACAACCUUACAUUCUCCCACUUGAAUGUCAAUGAUUUAUCCUAACAAAUAAGAACUCAUGGUGAUCACUGAGUCUUCAUAAGUAUGCAACAACCUUUCCUAGCAACCUGUCACUUUGAAUUGAAUGCAGAACCAAAGAAAACAAAGAACAACUUGGUCUGUUCCUUGCACUCCAAGAUCACAUACACAUUCAACUUAAAGUACUUUGUUGCUAACAAAGUCAUGGUGUCAGGAGCUAAUAGUCAAAACAUUAGCUCACAAUAGUUGAACUGAAAAUAUGAAACUAUAUUUCAGUACAAAAGUAGUUCACAAAAGAACUCAACAACGUUGGUAACAACAUCCAACUUUUCUGUCAAUUUAGAAUAUGAUAAGAGAAUAAGUAAAAUACGACAUACUAUUUACAAAAUCAGGAUCUCUUAUUAAAACUUAUGAACAAAACUUAAACAAAAGAAAAAGAACUCUUAAAAUAUCAGCCACUAACACUUCAAAAUUUUUAACACAAAAUGUAAUCUCUUACUCCCACUGAUUAAAAGAGACAAAAUUAUAUAAAUUAUUAUUACUCCCACUGAUUAAGAGAGUAAAAAAAACUUUGUAAAGGUCUACAGAAUGAAACAGAUACCUUUCAAAUACUCCAAUUAGCAAAACAUUAGUCAUGGGAUCUAAAACAUAAAAUUUGUGAGCUCAACAUCUUUAUUCUAGAUAUCUGUAGGGAAGUGACCAUUGUGACUGAAAAAACUAUACAAAAUCAUUUGGUCAGUUUUGUUCAUCUAACAUUUGACAGAAAUAGAAAACUUUAACUAAAUGUUUUCUUACUGCAUCAAAAACAUAUAAUUCUAGAAUCAUCUUUGGACAUAAACUAAUUAUAUUAGGUUUGCAUAGCUAAAACAUAAAAUACAAGGGCAAACGUAUAUAGCUUCAACACUUUUGAACAGAUGAAGUAUAUGCAAUCUUGUCAAUUUCAUGUUUCACUAUACAUUGAUUUAUAGUUGUAUUGAAUAAGAAAACACUUUUGAGCAGAUUAAUUAUUCAUCAAUAACAUAUAAAUCACAAGUCCAAUUUCUUGAACAACAAACAAUAAUUAAUAAGCAAAACACUUUUGAGUAGAAUAUACUCAUUAACCCUUCUUGAAUUUCCUACAAGAUUAGUUGCAUAUAUAAAAUAUAAACUAGUAUGAUAAUGUACGUUUUAUCUACCAAAACUAUGACCAUUAAAAGCAUGCAAAAUUGAUGAGUGUGAAGCCCAUAAUACAUUAUUUCUCCCACUUGGGCAAACACUCAAAAUUUCAAGAUUAAACAUUAGAGAAAGUGGUUUUCAUAUAACAAAAUAUAGGCCAGUUGAAUCAAUAAAGAUAGUGUACACAAUCCAUUAUAUAAUAUAACAUGGCAAAUUUUUAAAAAGUUUAGAGUUAGAAAAAUCUAUCAAAAUUGUAAUCAAAUAGGACACGUUGCAAGGUAUGCAAAACUUCAUCAAUAUUUCCCAAGCUCCACCAAAAUUUCAGAUUUAAUCAUAAUUUAAAUAAAACCAAUUUACAAUCUUUAAUAUGCUCAAAACACGAAAAUUUCUUAAAUAAAUUUGUUGAGUCACAAAAUAGUUGGUUUGGACAUAAUAAACCAAUCUAUAUGUAUCAAAAUUAGGAUUAUAAGGAAUAAUAUCUCAACAUCAUUAAUCGAUAAAAGUGACAAGUGAUUAGAUAAACCAAUGGCUACAAAAUUUAUUUUAGUGUAUGAGAGAAAACACAUAUGUGUUAAAGAUUAGGUCAUAAAUUAAAAUGAAACCUAAUAAGAGAAUCCAAACUUAAAAUUUAUGUUUUAAUUCUAAAACAAAGUCGAUUAAAGUAAACACAUAGAUAUCUCAACAACAUCAAUUUUUCAACAAUAAUUUUAAUCCAAUUUAGAACUCACAAAAAAUUAAGAAAAAAGAUUGGCAAAUUUACGUACUCAUUCUCAAUUCUGUAAGAUUCAUCAUGGAAGUAGUCGAGUUGUGGAGGAUCGAACCAACUCCAAAUUGCAUGAUUAUUACAUUAGCUCGCACUCAUGAUCAACAUCACCAUGUACUAUAUGAAUAUAGGCUAGAGAGUAAGACGCCCAAAUCACAUCUGCGAACAAGGAAAUAUUUUACUGGCAGAAACAUACUGUUUAGUGUUUAUGUUGGUGGCAUUACUAUGUCCUUGACAUAAAGUGGACACGUCUCCAUUAUUAACUACAUUGUAAAAGAUGAAAUUGGUACAGAGGAAGAGAAAGAAUUGGUAGAGAGAAACAAGAAAGAUUGUAUUGAUUGAAUAGAGAAAAUGUAUACAAAAUGAACUUAAGGAAAUGAUAGCUAUACAAUCCCUUAUAUAGCCAUAUAACCUAAUUAUAAUAAUACCCUUCUAACUAUACUAACCAAUCUUAUCCUUAUGACAACCUACCAACACAUUUCAACUAACUAUAUUCUUCAUUACUAAGUAACCAUGUCAUCACUAAUGACUAUGGUUAAUACUCCCCCCUCAAACUGAACUUGGUGUAGCCAAGUGAAGGUUGAAUGAGCUAGAACGUUGAAACUGAUUUGGAACUGCAAGACCAAGAUGUUUGCAAUGCUUCAAGAACACUGCAGAAAACCCCAAACAAAUGAAUACCAUCAUGUGCCAAUUACUGCCUUUCCCCUUGAAAAUUGCGCCACAAGAAAACUCUUCUUCUCUCCACACCCAACUUCUUCUUCUUUGUCAAUCACUCCUGCAACGGCUCUUGUAUAAUGCAAGAAACUAUACUUCGAUCCACCGAUCUUCGAAGUCGAGUGAUAUAACAACUAUUGGGAAUAACAAUCUUAUCAUGGGAUCUUGUCAUAUUGCCCACGAUUGCAAGAUCGGAAACAACAUCAUAUAAUACAUUGUUGGCAGGCCAUGUUGUGGUGGAAGAUUAUGCUCACACUGCAGGGGCUGUUGUUGUUCAUCAAUUCUGCCAUGUUGGCUAUUUCUCAUUUAUUGGUGGUGGUUCUGUGAUGGCACAUGAUGUUCCAAAGUACAUGAUGGUUGCGGGAGAAAGAGUUGUGCUUCGUGGUCUUGGUCUGAACAUACCCAACAAAUUUUCGACUGUGAACUGAGAAUCCAUAGUUGACACUGCCAAGAAACUAAAUCUACCAAGGAGAAUGACACUCCCAAGAAACUAAACUACCAUGGAGAAUGACACUCCAAGAAACUAAAUCUACCAAGGAGAAUGACACUCCAAGAAACCAAAUCAGCCAAAGAGAAUGACACUCCAAAGCACAACACAAAUCUCACACUUCUACUAAAAAUACCAAAUAAGGAGACUGACACUCCAUGAACACAAAUCAUACUGCAACUUAGGAGAAUGAAACUCCAAAUCAUACUGCAACUUAGGAGAAUGAAACUCCAAAUCAUACUGCAACGUAGGAGAAUGAAACUCCAAGAUUCAUAGAAAGAAUGACACUUUCUUCUUUAAAUCGACAAGCCUUAGAGAAUGAUACUCGCAGGAAAUAUACAGAAAACUAAUACUUUGCAGAAAUCAACACAUCAAGACCACAUCUUCACUUCAAUUAAAUCUCAAAAGUACAUAAAGACCACAUCUUCAAGAAAUAAGCAUCAAACAAAACCAGUAAACGAAUUCACCUGAUUUACCAAAAUCGCACCACCAAAUCUCCAAACACCCAUACAACGCCGUUUCAGAACACCAAACACCCAAACCAGUGGAAGUCUUCACCAGAUCAUUAGAAACACAAACACCUUAUGUGCAGAAUUGAAGAAACAAAGAAAUACAACAACCAAAAUCUACAGAUCCUUCUCGUGAAAAUUCUGAGCUGGGCAAUUUGUCAUACACCUUGACUGCAGCUAACAAGAAUCAUAAGAAAUCCAUUUAUCGACGUCGAAAUCAAGACUAAGAAAUGGGAAGCAACAAGAAGACUGGUCUGCACUGACUGACAUCACCAACAAUUUUCCGAUAGUUGGACUUACAAUAGGAAGCUUGGAGACUCCAUCGUCGGCCAUACUCAAACAGAGAAGCUGCAGAGCCAAGAACAUAUCUGACAGAAUCCAAGAUUCCACUUUCCAAUCAGCAACGUAGAAGAGAAAUUCUAAGACGAUCGAGUCGAGCAAGAGCAACUAAACAAAACCCAAACGUCGUCGUAUCUUGGAAUACCACCUCCGCUGGCACGGCUCGCUCGCCAAGCUCACGUUCUGGUCCUUCGUCUUCCUUGGCAUGAUCUUGAAACUGACAACAUCCCAAAUCAGGAAUGCCAGAUCCAGAUGCGGAGGUGAUUGCACUGUCGCUGAAGACCCAUCUGGCGAUGAACCGAUUCGUCUGAAAAAUUUACAGCAAAUGGUUUCAGAGGGAUCAGAAUUUUCAUCUUCAUCAGCGCGGCCAUAAUCUGCCAUGGAAGCUGCGACAGAGGUCAAGCAAAGAGGUGAAGAAGUGAGUCUACGUCUGUCUGGAGGCUUCUUGUGUACACCACGACCCGUCACUCCAAACAACACUCCAAAGAAUUCCCUGACUACGAUCUGUGAUCCGACAUCUCAAUUCACAACCCAGAAAAACCUUAUCGGAAUAUAUUGUUCACAACCCAGAAGUUAUGGAACAAUUGCGGAAACACUAAGGAAAUUAACGGAAGAGAAAAAAAAUGAAACUAAUGAAAAAAAAUUACGGAAUCACCAGAAUCAAUGGCGUAAGCCUGGUGGCUCUGAUACCAUAUUAACUACAUUGUAAAAGAUGAAAUUGGUACAGAGGAAGAGAAAGAAUUGGUAGAGAGAAACAAGAAAGAUUGUAUUGAUUGAAUAGAGAAAAUGUAUACAAAAUGAACUUAAGGAAAUGAUAGCUAUACAAUCCCUUAUAUAGUCAUAUAACCUAAUUACAAUAAUACCCUUCUAACUAUACUAACCAAUCUUAUCCUUAUGACAACCUACCAACACAUUUCAACUAACUAUAUUCUUCAUUACUAAGUAACCAUGUCAUCACUAAUGACUAUGGUUAAUAUCCAUAAAGCUUGAUACGGAGAAAACUAUGUUGUUAAAAGCAUAGAAGUGUUAAGAGAAUCUAUUCAUAAUCCGAUUCAAAAGAUUUAGAACCACAAUGUUGCAUGCAGUGACAAUCUAAUAAUGUUUUGUCAUAAUCCGAUCAAGUCCAGCCAGAGUCCAGCCAAUUUGGAGCACAAUUGGGUUCGAAACAUAUGGGAAAUAGUGUUUUCACCGCCGUGACCCCAAGCAAUAAACAAAAAAUCUCAACAAGUUAUUCCAAGAGAGUAAUUAAACAACCACCAACAUGGUGAUAUUCGUUUGAUUACGGUUGUCUCAUUAGACAACAUUCAUGAUAUGAGUUGGAUGUAAGUGUGUGUUGUCAUAUGCGGCAGCCGUACUGAUGACUCGCCCUCUCCGAGUGAAAGAUAAGAAACUAGUUGUUUGGACGUGAGCCAACCAUUAUUUACCUAUUUUAAAUAUGGGAGUGUGAUUGCAUUUUGACCACUAGGGUUUAACAAGUUAAAUUCAGCUUACUACAGAUGGGAAAAAAUUUCAUUGUGACGGGAAUACGGAUGGUAUACCAUGUGUUUUUAUGUAAAUGGUGAAAUUUUUUAUUUUUUAAAUUAUUUACUUUUUAACACACAUAUCCCACCAUUUGUAUAGUGACACAUGGUGUACCACUUCGUGUGAUGGUCACACUAAAAAAUCUCUCCUACAGUUGCAGCUUAUACACCAAACGCGUUGAUCCUAAUAGUUUAAGCUGUUAUAAUCGAGCCUCAGCCAACCAUUAGAUUUUGUUCCAAAAGCGAAUCAAAAUAUGCUACAUUAUUCACCUAUAUACUUGAGACAUAUAUAUAAUUACCCAAACUCAGUAAAAUCCAGGAGAACUCUCCUUCUUAUGAUUAAUCUAAAGAGUUAUUCACAUGAAAUUUUCCAUGCAAAACCCCACAUGUAAAUUACCUGUCAUAACUUUGUCUUAACUAGGGUAAAUUACAUGGAAACCUGCACUUUACUGAAACCCCUACUCAACCAAAACUUAUUUUGAUGAGUUAAAUUAAUGUUAAUUAGCUCCAGGGCCUGAGGACCGUACAAUAUUAUCCAAGAAGGUUGGUCGAAGAAUUUAAUUCCAACAUAAUAAUCCAAACAGGUAGCCGUCUCGAAAGUCUCUUUCUUUGGAGUUGAAACAUGCAUUUAAUUACGUGAGACUUUUUUUGGUUUAACCAUCUCGCGUAAUGUCCGCAUCUGCAUGAAAAAUGCACAUAUAUACUGCCUCUCAGACCAUUUCAUUUUCCAUCUACAACUGUUUUAGAUUGAUAUUAUCGUUGCUUCUUAUUGUAUUCCCUCGUCGUCCAAGGAAAAACUGCGCUUUCAUGGAGAAAGAACCCACAUUCACGACUUAUUCAACUAUGCAAUUGCCUCCGGGUUUCAGAUUCCAUCCAUCAGAUGAAGAACUCAUCGUUCACUACUUGCGAAACAAAAUGAUUUCGCAUCCACUUCCAGCUCAGUUGAUCACGGAGAUCGAUCUGUAUAAGUAUAAUCCGUGGGAGCUACCCAGUCAGUACUGAAGCAUUCACUCAUUUCAUUCCUCCAUGGUUAAUCCUUCGAUUUGGAUUACACAGUAAUAACCGAGUGUAUAUGUUUUUGAAUUGUUUGUUUUAUUACUUGAUUUUUGCAGACAAGGCUUUGUUUGGAGAAGAUGAAUGGUACUUCUUCAGCCCGAGGGACCGGAAGUAUCCGAAUGGGGAGAGGCCUAAUAGAACAGCAGCUUUGGGUUAUUGGAAGGCUGCUGGAAGUGACAAGCCAAUUCUCACCUCUUGUGGAUCAAAGCGGAUAGGAGUGAAGAAGGCUUUGGUCUUUUACACCGGUCGAGCUCCUAAAGGAGUUAAGACUGAAUGGAUCAUGAACGAGUAUAGACUGCUCGACUGUACGGUUAAUCCCUCGAGAUCCAAAGGUUCUAUGAGAGUAAGUCGAUAGAAUGAGAUACUGAGUUUGCAUAUUAUAUAUAUGUAUCUCAAAAAAUGGAACAAACCACUUAAAGGCAUAAGCUUACUAAUCAACCAAUACGUACUAUAUUGUUGAAAUGCUAGCAUCAGUCAUCCACGUGUGUCUUUCUGAUAACUGUUGAACCCCACACCCAUAAACUGCUUAGAGUCACUCGUGCUCUAUCAAACUCUCCUGCUAGCCUAGCUAGCUAGGUUCCCUCAGAAUUCAACAUACUCAAUCUUGCCUUGUACUAUAGCUAAUGUGUUUUUAAAAGUGAAACACAGAUGGUAGAGGUACUAAACAUUUUAAAUCUUAAAAAUCGUUGCUUCAGACCAUGCUUUGAUUUAACUAUUUAAGUCGUGGUCUUCAUGUUUUUUUUUUCACUACGACUCGGUAAAUUAUGCAGUUCAUACAUCGACUUUGAUCAAAACAAUGUGAUCAGAGGCAAUACGUUAAAAAAUGCUUCGUGUUGUAGCAGUUGGAUGAUUGGGUACUAUGCCGAGUUCAACAGCGAGGAAACACAACAAAGAACACAUGUAACGCUCAAGACAUCUACAACACUGAAUUUUGGAGGUGCCUACCAAAAUCUGGGCCAACAGUACGGCCUACAAGUCCAAUCCAUCGUGCUGAUAUAAUCACAGAUUUUCUAUACAAAGACUGUCGAGAAUUACCUUCCAUCCUCGCCGGUCAACCUCCAUCACCGAUAGAGACCUCAAGUGCGAGCUUUCAAGGGAGCAAAGAUAGCUAUCCAGUCGGCUCAAAUAAUAAGGUAAAAUCCACAGUAUCAAUUUCUUCUUCGGGCAUUAAUUCCACACUAAAAAGGAAGAUUAGAGAAGAAAAUACAAAAGAAAAUCUCUUUCCACUCAUAAAUCUAGAAAGCAAGAACAAAGAUGGGAACGUUCUGCUUAGCAAGAAACUAGCAGCUGGUAAUGUUGUCAACUGCUACAUUCCAAACCACUUGCAAAAUGACAUACCCAAAGCAAAUCCAACUGUUCCAGCCAACUUUGAGGAGUUUAAUGAAAUGGGCUUCCUCGCUACAUACUCCUCGUAAUAAAGUCUUUGAUGAAAGCUAAGUGCCCUUGACGAAUGAACACAUUCAGGAGGCCAUAGUUUCUGGCUGUACAGCAUGAAGUGUAAACAAGGUGUACAAAGCACGAUAUCGAUUUGGCCUCCAAGACUGGGUAGUACAUAUAACCAGUUCAAUAAUCUACAUUUGUUGCUAGUUAACUCUGUUUAUGUGGAGAAUGCUCUCCUGGUUGGGAAUAUUUAUUACCACCCUCAUAAGAAUGUGUAAGUUCAUGCUUGAUCAAGGAUGGGAAAAAAAGAAAGAAAAUAAACAUUUUUCAGUGUAAUAAUAUGUAAAUUAGUAUUGUCAAAUACUUAAAUGAUAUGAGUAAUUAUCAUACAUGUUCAGUUUGUUUUAAUUUCAUUGGGUUAUAAAUUCUUUCCAUUUACAAAAAGAUAAUUUGACAUUCGAUAGCAUAAUCUUUUCCUAGUGCAACUUAAUUUGCUCACCCCCUAAAGUAAAGGUGAUGCUCACCAAACUAAUAUAACGGCAAUAAAUUGGGGUGAGCAUUACACUUACUUUAGGGGGUGAGGAAAAAUGCACUCAACAACAUGGAUUUGGAUCGCACAAUGCACUGCAAAACUAUAUAAGGCAAAUUGAUGCUCAAUAAAUUCAUUGAAUGACAAGUACAGACAUAAAUAAAUCUAAACUACAAAUUUUCCACAUUGUUGGGAGAAAGAACCACCAUGAGCAAGAAACUGUAUAUAAUCAUCUUCAAGUAGCCAAAACCAGAUUAGAUAAUUAACGUUGUACUUGAACGGAAGAUGUUAAAGAGAUACAAGCUAGCAAAGCCUUAUGAAAUGGAAGAAUGUAAUACCACAUCAGAUAUGAUCCGAUAAGCUGCUGAAGUCUUUUUAAAGUAACUUCAUCGCAGUAGUAAAGAAAACAGUUGAAUAUCUCAUUUAUUCAAGGAAAGAAAAGUAUGUUAAAGCAUUCAGAACACGCAAAAUCAAUUCUUAGACAACCCCGUGAAAUAAAUGUGGCAUAAACUGUCUUAUGAGUUAUUUUCCGGAACAUGAAACCAAUUUCACAGAACGUUUAACUCUACAUCAGGAAUUGUGUGUAAAUAAGCUUCUCAGCAUUUGGGGACUAGAUUUUAAGGUUUUCUAAGUAAAAAGACAGAGAGAAUACUUGUUAAGAUAGAAGGCGAUUCCCAGAACAAUACAAAGCAAAAUAAUGUCAAUGCAGAAAUUCCAGCUCGACCUCACCUGCAAAACAAACCAAGUUUCUCAUUAGUAGAGCCCUACCUGUAUGAUGCAACAAUUAAAACUGGUCAAUAUGGUCAGCGUACAGAUACCUUGUUUAGAUUUUCCUUGAGCCUAACACUAUUACUUUUUAUGUCAGAUGUAACCUUGUCCACCUGUAAAAGCAUCAAAACUCCAUCACUAAGUAAUGAACUUAAAAUGUUACCAACACUAUCUCUCACCGGUGUUGCCGGAAAGAUUAGGAUUCUAGUUAGAGAAGAAAAUCACACUUUUGUUUCUAUCUCACCAAUUAGUGGGAGUUGUCAGUCCAAUUCCUGAACAUAUCGAAACAAUGAUCAAUGUUUGAAUUCUUCUAAUAACACAAUGAAACAAAGUUAUGUGCAUCGACCAACUGCAUUCAUACCAUGGCCCAAAUCUUUCAAAGUACCCAAACCUUCCGAGAUGAUAUCUAGAGCUUAAUCCUGAGCAAGUGACCAACUCAAUCAAAAUAACAGCAGAGCUGUACUCCUUCCUGAACUGACUCGAUUCUUCGGUUUUGCUGGAAAAAUUCACUAUCAAAGUUCCCAUCUGAAUGGGAAACACAUUAAUAUUAAUAAUCUAUCAAGAGGCUUGACAUUCAUUGAAAACUAUAACAGCAGAAAAAUAAAAAAGCAUAUAAAAUACUGAUUACCUGAUGAGUCAAAUUUGAUAUUUUUAUGAGAUGUUGAAGUUGUUGGUGUAUAACCCUUUAGCUGAAGCUUGGCAGCAAGAAUCAUGUCUCUAUGUUUUGUUUCUGUUUAAAUGUGAGCCAUUGGAUCAUAGUCCACAUGGCACUUUAAUCUUGUAUCUAGCCUAAGUAAUGGAAUAAGCCAAGGCAUCAUCUCAUAGGAUGAUAGCAAUGGAUGGCUAAGAUUGUACUGUAUGUUGAAGAGUGAAGGAUCUCCCUUCCUUCUUCAUAUAACGGUUAGAUUGUAUUGUGUAAAAUGUUAAUGAAAUUCGAAGAGACAUUUUGUGUAGCUUCCUCUCUCUGAAACUCUCUCCAUCUUUGAAGACAACCUCCAUUGAAACACAUACUAAAACCACACACAAACAUUAACAUGGCCUCAGAGCCUGGUUUCAUCGUCUAAUAUGGGCGUGAAAUCUGUACGAUUGAGCUACAUCUUUGAGCUGCAAUCGAAUCUGGAAAUUGUGAUUUCGUGCAUCCAAGUCUCAUAUGGCUGGGUCCGGCAAUGUCGAGCUUAGAGCUCCCGUCUUCAAUGGAGAGAACUAUGAAUUUUGGAGGAUUCGUAUGACAACUAUACUGAAAUCGUAUGGUUUGUGGGAGCUGGUAGAAAAUGGGUUUGAACCACCAGAUCCGAAGUCUGAGAAAGCUGUGGUUGAUGAGAGACGAAGAAGGAGACGACGGAUGGAGUGUCGUUCAGUGAGAUCCUGAUGAAGGAUGCUCGUGCGCUUGGAAUGAUACAAGGUGCAGUAUCGGAUCAGAUUUUUCCCAGAAUUGUGAAUGAAGAGACAUCCAAAGGAGCUUGGGAUGUUUUAAAAGGUGAAUUCCGAACGAAGUAAGAAGAAAUGUAAAAUUGCAAGGUUUACGUAGAGAUAUACUCGUAUGAAGGAUAGUGAAUCAUUAUCUGUGUAUCUCUCUAGAUUUUUUGAUAUUAUUAAUCAAAUGAAAAGUUAUGGAGAAGAGCUAUCUAGGGAGAGAAUUGUGCAGAAACUACUUAUCAGUCUUCCGAAAACAUAUGAUGCAAUUUGUUCUGUAAUUGAGCAUUCUAGAGAUCUUGAAAUUGAGGUUCAGCUUCUAUCUAAGAGGAUUCGAACAGAUGAUUCGAGUGACUGAUUUAGUUUAAAUGUGCAUUCUAAGGUCAAAAGUUGGAUUCUGGGGAAUCAAAGGUCUCAAGAGAGUUGGAAAUCAAGGGGAAAAAUUGGGAUUAUAAACCAAACCAUGUUCAGAAGCAGAGUAAUACUCAAAGGAAUUGGGAUCACAAACCCAAUUAUCCUCAGAGACAGAACAAUACUCAAAGGAAUUGGGAUCAUAGGCCUAAUUAUGUCCAGAAGCAAAACAAUGCUUAGGGUGAUUGUAAGUGGUGUGACAGGUUGCACUAUGGGAAGUGUUGGUAUGAAGGUAAACCAAAGUGCACAGGCUGUGGUAAGCCAGGUCAUUCUAUGAGAGACUGUCAUGAGAAUAAAGGAAUGCAGAAAGUUAAUUAUGUGAAGCAAAUGGGAGAAAUAGGAUCACUGUUUUAUGCCUGCAAUGCAGUGACUGAUGUGCAAGUCAAUAACUCAUGGUACAUUGAUAGUGGUUGUAAUAACCACAUGACAGGAGAUGAGAGAUUAUUGGUCAAUGUUCAGAGAGAUUUGACCUCCCAAGUAAAGAUGGGAACUGGAGAAAUUUGUCAAGUGGCAGGAAAGGGAACCUUGGUGAUUGAAACUAAAUUGGGAAGAAAACAUAUACAAGAAGUAAUGCUUGUUCCUGGACUUGAGGAAAACCUUCUAAGUGUAGGACAAAUGAUGGAAAACGGUUAUUAUUUGUUGUUUGGAGGUGAUGUAGUGAAUAUUUUUGAUGGAUGGUCACUGGACAAUUUAGUAGUGAGGGUACAUAUGACCAACAAUCGAUGUUUUCCUUUGACAAUGUUGCCUGCAACACAGUAUGCACUAAGGGCAGAUAUCACACAUUGUUCUCAGAUAUGGCAUAAGAGGUUGGGUCAUUUGAAUGAGAAAAGUCUCAAGGUACUUGAGGAACAGGGGUUGGUGCAUGGAUUACCUAAACUAGAAAUGUCCCAAAGUGUGUGUGAAGGUUGCAUGUUGGGUAAACAACACAGAGACUCAUUCCCUUCUCAAUCGACUUGGAGAGCUAAAGAUCCACUGGAGUUGAUCCAUACUGAUAUCUGUGGUCCAAUGCAAGUAGAGUCUCAUUCUGGAAACAAAUAUUUUUUGUUGUUUACAGAUGACUGCACAAGGAUGUCAUGGGUGUAUUUUUUGAGAAACAAGUCUGAAGCGUUUGAAUCUUUCAAAAAGUUCAAGGCAAUGACUGAGUUACAAUGUGGAUAUAAGGUUAAAUGUCUCAGGAGUGAUCGAGGAGGAGAAUUCCUCUCUGCAGAGUUUGACAAAUACUGUAAUGGACAAGGAAUUCAGAGACAAUUGACUAUGGCCUACACUCCUCAACAAAAUGGAGUGUCCGAAAGAAAGAAUAGGACUGUGGUGGAGAUGGCAAAGUCAAUGCUACAUGAAAAAAACCUUCCAUAUGCAUUUUGGGCAGAAGCAGUGAAUACUGCUCUAUUUGAAGAUAGGUGUCCUACAAAAGCUUUGAAGAAUUGUCAAUCCCAUUUGAAGAUUGUGCUUCAAAGAAUGUCUCAUUUGAAGAUAUUUGGCUCAUUGUGUGUCAAUACCUUGACAUAAACUGGAACAACAGUCACAAGUGUAUUUGUUGAACUAUGAAUCCUAAAGAAGAUUGUUCCGAUCCUCAAGAGAACAUUUGAUGAGGAUAGUUUUUGGGAUUGGAACUGCAAUAUUGAUACUGGAGUGACAUUUCCAGUUAUCACUGAACAUAAGAAUGCUAAUGAAAUCUGUGAGAUUGAUGAAAAUUCUCAGUUUGAAGAAUACAAUGUUUCUCAAAGUGAGAAUGUGCCUGAGAGAUCUCCAACUUAUGAUGAUACACCGAAGAAAUGGAGAAGUAUCAAUGACAUCAUGGCUCAGUGCAACAUGUGUGUUAUUGAACCAGAAAGUUAUGAGGAUGCAGCUAAAGAUGAUUCAUGGAGGAGUGCAAUGAAAACUGAAUUGGACAUGAUUGAGAAGAACAACACAUGGCAGCUUGUUGAGAGACCAUAUGACAAGCCUGUUAUUGGUGUUAAAUGGGUCUAUAAGACCAAACUUAAUCUGGAUGGCACUGUGCAGAAGAAUAAAGCUCGGCUGGCUAAAUGGCUGGCUAUUCACAAAAGCCCGGAAUCGACUAUAAAAGAAACUUUAAGAAACAAAGGUUGGACACGAUUAGAACAAUUGCCCUUAUUACGCACCAAAGAAGGAACUUGAAUCAAUAUGAUGAAGAUUAAUGCAUACUUCAAUAGUGCAGGGUUUUGAGAAAAGUUCAAGUUGAGGCAACUUUGUGUAUGAGAUUAAGACAAGUAAGGACUCAGGUAUCAUUAUUGUCUCUCUAUAUGUAGAUGACAUUGUAUAUACUGGUAGCAGUCCACAAAUGCUUGAAGAAUUUAGAAAUGGCAUGAUGAAACACUAUGAGAUGACUGACUUGGGCUUAUUACAUCAUUUCCUUGGAAUGGGUGUGCUGCAAACUGAGAACAACAUUUUUAUACACCAAAAGAAAUAUGCACAGAAACUAAUUGAGAAGUUUGGUCUGAAAGAAUGCAAAUCAGUUGCUACUCCACUUGCAACGAAUGAGAGGUUGAGCAAAGUUGAUGGAAGUGAACCUGCGGAUGAAGGAGAAUAUAGGCAGCUUAUUGGAAGUCUGCUCUAUUUAACUGCAACUAGACCUGAUGUGAUGUUUGCAGCAAGUAUAUUGGCAAGGUUCAUGCAUAAUCCCACUAAGAAACAUAUGGGAACAGCUAAGAGGGUACUGAGAUACAUCCAGGGAACAAUCGAUUUUUGGUAUUGUCUUUGAAAGGGGAAAAGCUACUACUCUAAUCGGCUACUGUGAUAGUGAUUGGGCUGGAAGUGAGGAUGAUAUGAGAAGUACUUCAGGGUAUGCAUUCACACUAGGAUCUGGUAUGUUCUCAUGGGCUUCAAUCAAACAAAACACUGUGGCACUGUCUACUGCAGAAGCAGAAUAUGUUAGUGCAGCAGAGGCUACAUCACAAGCAAAGUGGCUGAGAUUUGUUCUAGAAGACUUUGGAGAAGAACAAGUGGAAGGAACUCAAAUCUUGUGUGAUAAUACAUCAGCCAUUGCUAUGGCAAAGAAUCCAGUCUUUCAUCAAAAGACAAGACACAUCAACAGGAAGUUCCAUUUCAUCCGAGAAGCAAUUCAAGCCAAAGAGAUUGAGUUAGUGUAUUGCAGAUAUACUUACUAAGGCUUUACCUAAAGAUCGAUUUGUGUAUCUAAGGGAGCUACUUGGAGUUAAAUCAGCCAAAGGGUUAGAAGGGAGUGUUGGUGUAUAACCCUUUAGCUAAAGCUUGGCAGCAAGAAUCAUGUCUCUAUGUUUUGUUUCUGUUUAAAUGUGAGCCAUUGGAUCAUAGUCCACAUGGCACUUUAAUCUUGUAUCUAGCCUAAGUAAUAGAAUAAGCCAAGUGGCAUCAUCUCAUAGGAUGAUAGCAAUGGAUGGCUAAGAUUGUACUGUAUGUUGAAGAGUGAAGGAUCUCCCUUCCUUCUUCAUAUAACGGUUAGAUUGUAUUGUGUAAAAUGUUAAUGAAAUUCGAAGAGACAUUUUGUGUAGCUUCCUCUCUGAAACUCUCUCCAUCUUUGAAGACAACCUCCAUUGAAACACAUACUAAAACCACACACAAACAUUAACAGAAGUUCCCCAUUCCCCAGCUUUUUUAGCUGCAGUUUCUGUCCCAUCUGGUAUCCUCUCAGGCAGUGCAAAAACCAGAUCACUACGUGUUUCUAGUUCUUCAGGGGACAGCCCUUUAACCUGUAAUUAAACCAAAAUACGAAUACAAGUUAAGCAACUUUGUUGUUACAAGUCUUUAGAGAUUAUAGUGGUGAUAAUAAUCAAUAUUAACGAGUACGACCCAAAUUCCUUUAUGUUUGUGUGGGUGUGCGUGUCUAUAGGUCCAAGAUGUUCACACAGUCACACUAUGGUUGCCAUGUUAUAUACUAAGGCUGUAUGUUGGGCACACUCUUAUGGUAUCUGAAGAACCAUGCCGACGCCAAUUCAUGCUCUCGCGUUGCUGGAUGAUAUUCUCACGCUGUGCAACUCAUUAUGUAGCUUUUGGAUUUGGUCACGUUGGUUACGUUUGUGCGUUUUAUUGUCACAGCAAUUCCACAUCAGUAACCAAAAGUGCAUCAUAAACAUCAUCAGCGGGAUAAAUGUUAGAAGGUUAUGUCAGUUCAGGGUAAAACAUGAACAAGAGAUAUGAAAUGAUAAUAUAGGCAAGAAGGAAUUAACAAAAAGAAGAUACAUGAAGCCCUUUUCAGAACAUCGUAUUUUCUCCGAGAAUGCGGGGCUGGUAAAGCGUGACAGAAACUCAAGAAGUAAACCCAAAGAACAAAUUCGUGACCAAGUCAUCAGAGUAGAGAAGCUGAUUUUUAGAUUCUAUGCAACCCCUUGAGAAUUCAUGUGAACGGGGUUCUCUAUCUGCUUAGGAACGUAACGCAUAACUUCGUAGAGUCCCAACUCUUUUGCUAAUGGUCUCGGAACAUAAGUUGUAUCAUAAAGAAGAAAUGCAAGAUCUCAUGGAAUAUAUCUACCGAGGUUACAGUUGUCUCGUUUCGCCUCGCUUCUAGUCUAGUUCCUUGUAGCUUCUGCAAUUUCGUUGACGAUGAUUGUUUUGUUCCUUUACUACAAGAACCACUCUUGUUUUGUUCAUCUCGUGCGUCGAUGAUAGACACACGGUAAACAGUAACAGUCAGGCUCAAUCCACACCAUUUUCCAAAACCAAGAAACUACCGACUUUUUUCGACCACAAGAAACUAUCGACUUUGGAGAGAAAGCCAGCAAUUAGAUAAGAAUGUGACAUCAAUUUGGAGCUAUUCUCACACACUUCAUCCGUACACACACUAUCUCCAUCUUGGCUAAUCACCAUUGGCUGAAUCAAAAUUCCCAUACAUUUUGAUCUGUCAAAUCUCGAAUCACAUGCGCAUCUUUCAAAAUUUAGUUUACACAAUCGAUUAAAACUAAUAGAAAAGGAAAACAUAAUAUGUGAUGCAGCAUAUCUUAUGAUUUUUUGCGUCCUAUAUAAUCCUACUAUAUAAAAAUAAAUAAAUAAAUCAUAUCUAAUCACAUAUAUUUUCUAAUUUUGUCUUAAUUAAUAAUUAAGUAUGAAACUUAAAAAUAAAAUAAAAAUAGAUGAAUUGGAUUCGUUUCACCUUUUUCUGAUCCAACUUGCGCAGCUUAGGAAGUUCCUCCAUCAACCGAGCCAUGGUCCGACGAAUUUCCACAUACGUCGCAACCGCCACAGCCCGAUUACUCUCCAUCGCAACUUUCUCGACCUUCUUCACAUUCCGACACACAAUCAAAUUGUUCGAAAAUUUAAAUUAUUAUUAUAUUAAUUGAAUGGAAUUUAGACGUGGUGCUUUGGUGGAAAUAUGUGUAUUUCAAAAGAAGAGUUGUUACCUUUGACUCUUCAAUAAUAGUCACAUGUUUUUUAAAGUGGUAUCUCAAAUUUUAUAAAUAGAGAAGCCCUCUAUAUUCAUUUAAAACCCUUUUAUUGUUUAUAUAAUCACACAUAAAGUGAACUAAAUAUUAGAUAGUCUCAUUGAGUCCACUUGAGAGAUUAUUUAACACAAUCGUGAUUCAUUGGAGUCUUGUAAUUUGGAGUGCUACUAUUACAAGGCCGUGGUCAUUGUAUAUUGGGAGACAAACGCCCAUCACCCAUGAGCACCAUAAUGGGACGUAAACUUGUUUUAAAGACAAAAUGUCUAACAUUUGCCUCAACUGUAUUUCCAGAUUUUUCUGAUCCAUUAUGUCAUGUUAUUUAACAUUAGUUACUUAUGUGCAUGUAUUACUUUGAUAUAUAAUUUCAUGAAUUAUUUCUUGAUUUCAUAUGCAAUUUACUAUAGCAAUUAAACCCUAUUUUUCCAAUACCAAUAACUCAAACAUUGUGUCCGCAACCAAACACAAGUAGCAAUACUGGACGACCAAAAGUGAAAUGAUGAACCAUAAGAGUGGCUCUUAUUUCGCUGUCGACGUGAGCGUAGUGAUAGGUGAAGGCAUCUUCUCCGGCGGGGUUGAGGUUGCGGUGCUUCUCAAUGUCAUACUUGUCGUAUUUCUUGCAUAUUGAGUCGACUCGGGAGAGAAUGUCGAUCACGCUCACUUUCUUCGUUUCUUCUCGAAAUUAGAAGAGAAGGUUGCUGAUCGUCGCGUUCAGGCAUUGCACCUCUCUCUUUCUGACUCUCCGCUUGAAUUUUCAAACGAUUUUUCCAUUUUGGAGAACCAUGUAGGAAGAAAGGGCAUGAGAGCAUGGGAUUAUUAACUGUUUUUUUUACGGGUACACAUCCAAUUGGCUAUUUAUACUUAAAAUUCGACAAUACUUAUACUCAAUAGUGAUUACUCACCUUUUGCUUUUGUCCAAAAAUAAAUUAACAUGUUUUAUGGUUUUAGAGGACUAUACUUAUACUCAAUAGUGAUUACACACCUUUUAAUUUUGUCCAAAGAUAAAUCAACACAUGUUUUAUUGUUUUAGAAAAUAAUGAACAUGUUAUUAAUUUUUCUUGGGCUUUAAAAAAGAAGAACACAUGACUUUUUUAUUGGGCCAAAUAAAAAAGUGAGGACGUAGAAUACUCACUAGUGAUAAAAAAAUAUUAUUCCCAAAAUUUAUUUUGGUCAAUAUGUUUUAAAUUUAACAAGUUUGGUCAGCAUAUUUUGAUAAAGUUUGCAAUGUCAGUCACUUUCGUAAAAAAUUAAAUGAUUCAUUUACUAAUUAAAAAAUAAAAAUAAUUACUUAAAAAUAGCCCUACUGUCUUUCUUCUCCUCCCAUCAUCCUUCCCUCAACCCCUAAUCAUCCCCGUGUCGUCGAAUUGCAUUUGCAACAUAGUAAUUCACAAAUGAUUCACAAACUUUAAUCUAAAAAUCAACUUAUAAUUUGAGUCAAAUAAAAAUGCCUCGGAGCAGGGAUCCGUGGAGGGCAGCCGGCUGAGCGCUAAUGGACCUUGUCUCUCCCACCUUCUCUUUGCGGAUGAUACAUCGAUCCUCAAAGCAUUAAGGAACAAUUGUCAAAACAUUGUGAACUGCUAAAUGCUUACUGCCAAACGUCGGGGGAAGGAGAUUAGCGUAUGAAAUUCGGUAGUCUAUUUCAGUGCUAAUUGAUACAAUCCAAAUCUGUAACCCCUUAAUCAACCUGCAAGUCACAGAGGAUAGAGAGGGAGAGGGAAGGAAGAGAGAGAGAGAGAGCAGAGCUCUUGAAUUGUUUUUUGGUUUUGUAUUUCUGUUUGUAAAUUCUGAUCUUCACAUUAGAGGAAGUUGGCUCCUUUUAUACAGACUCUACUCCUUAAAAUGUCAGCUGGCAUAUUUAACAAUUCUUAACAAUUCAAAUUAAAGCAUAAACCUCAAUUACAUUUUGGGUUCAUAACACUAAUACGCUGGUGGAGACUAAGAGGAGCUUAGUGCUUUACUGGAAAUGUCGACGAUCCAGGAAAAUACUUGGGUAUCCCAGCGGUUUGGGUAGAUAAAAAAAGGGAACCCUAGCUUAUGUCAGAGACCGUAUAUUGGGGAAAAUCCGUGGAGCCAAUCCUUGGUCAUAUUUUGAAGCUUGGGAACUCCUUUCAAGCAUGUUCAUGGUCUUGGGUCCCAAGUUCGGCAAAUGAAACGGCACAUUUCGUCGCGACGCACCAUGGAGCAGAGAUGCGCUACUUAGUCUGGGUCGAAAGACCCCCAUCUUCGUUUGUACGAAUUUUGAGCAUAGACCGCCUCCAAUGCCCUCCUUUGUAAAUGAUGGUAGUGUCGGAAAGAAAUUGACACCGGGGCCUUCUAUGGCAGCGUCGUCACUGUAUUUUCCCUGCUCUUGCGGGUUUAUUCUUCGGACAAGGAUUGUCUGCCCUCCUUUUUUUCAUGCCCUUCUGUUUUGUGUGGUCACGGUUAAGUCAUGUCAACAUUUUAUAUAUUUUUUGUAUAAAGAUAAUAAGAAAAAAUGAAUAGUAAUAUAAAAUGUUGACGUAGCUUAACCGUGACUACACAAACAGGAGGGCAUGGAAGGGCAUGGAAAAAGGGAGAACAGACAAUCCUUGUCCUUAUUCUUCUAUGUUUAAGUGUUUCUCAAUCUUUUUAUAUCAUUGGCUUUGCCUUAUUUAAUGAAAUGUUUUUUUUCUUAUCAAAAAAAAAAUUCUAACAUUAAUUUAAAUUGUUAAAUGCUCUGGUGUAGAAAGAGGGAGGUGAGCAGAUUGGUCAAAAGUUUAAAAUCAAUAAAGAAAAUGCAACAUGGGUUGCGGCUAGGGAUUUGAUAGAUAAAGUUGGUGGUGCAAGCAGGUGGCGAUGGACGAGGGAGAAGGACGGCGGGGGAGGGACGGCGAAGGUGGGCCUGAGGUAGAGGUAUAUAACCCGUUCUUUUUAAAUUUCCUUGAUUCCACUCUUGUUGAAUUCUACUGGCCCAUGACCGGAUACAAGAUUUGGGCCAAGAACAAUCAAAUCAUAACUGCCCGACUCUCAUGAAAUCUUGAUUUUUUUCUUUUUCUUUUUGGAAACAGAUGGCUAGUGAUUAUUGCGCUCCCAGUUUCUUCUUCAACACUUUUUUGUUGUCUUUUGAUUCUACUUGGAAUUAUUCAAUCCGAGUUUAAUAACGAACUUAGAGAUCUUUCUUACAAUAAUUAUUGACAAUCAACAAAAAGUAUGAUAAAGAAAAAUGCACGAUGACUUUUUGAAAAAAACCGAUAACAAGUCUUCAUUAGUUCGAAUCAAACUUGAGAUAAUGGGUGUAAUCCAAAAAAAAGAUUCAUCCGCUACCAAAUUCCAUGGAGUCAGUAUCCAUUUUAAACGUAACAGCAUGCAAACAGGAAAGAGUAACAAAGUAACAAUUGAAGAGGUAGUCAUUGCAUCACAAUUUCCCAACUUCCUCCACUUCCACAUUGGUGAAGUAAUCAUCCAAACUCCUCACUGGAAAAGCUAGUGGAAUAAAGAUCUUACAACAAACAGAUAGUUGCAUAAAGAUCGUACAGCUCUAGUGUUUUCUCAACUAGAGCUAAUCUGAUCGAUAUAUGCUAACAUGUCCCCCCUCAAGUCGGAAUCAUCAUGAAUCGAACACACAAGAAUUGGAACACAAACAGAUCCUAAUAUGCGAAUGAUACAAACCGACAAUGUUAAACACAACCAAAUAACAAAAUCUUGACAACUAAACUAUAUAAGCCGGGCCGGAGCUGUUUGUUUUCAAGUUUUUGAAACAUCAGAAGGGAAGUACAAUUGCUAUAUUUAUCCAUGGGCAAAUAAUCCCUGCUCACUAAAUCGUAACAAUCAAUUGUACCUUGUUUUCUACCAAGGAAGAAUGUAGAUUUAUGCCAAAAGUCUUGUAAAUCGGUAGUUAAUCUUCCAAUUCUCAACCAUAUAUGAGGUGAGUAGAGCUUAACAAACCAACCUUACACUCUGCCACAUAUAACAAAACCAAAAGAGUUCACAGAACUAGCAUAGCAUAAAGAUCCCCUCAUUCUAAAACGUUUUCGUAGAACUAGCAUACCAUUUAACGUCACGCUUAACAGAAUUUUAUCAUAUAAUUAGAAGACAUCUUGAAGAAUUCUUACUUUUGUGUGGUAACAAAUAUUCUAUUUGCUCGUACUCAGCCAGCAAGGUCUGUCUAUUGAGAUGACGAGGGGAUUGAUGAGUGUCAGACGAUGAACUCUGUGGAUAAACUCUGCCCCAGUCAAAAAUUUAUGUUUCUGCAUUCUCUCAUAACUAUAGUAGUAGUCAUCAAGAAAUCAAAUGAUUCAAAGAUAUCAAGAGUAAUGGGCACUCAUUUUGUAAGAAGUUUAAGUUUAUGAACCCCCCUGGCCCUCUUAAAUAACCAACGUUAUUCCUUCUAACUAUAGUCCCCAUCAUUUGCAGAGAAGAAGCCAACAAACAGUCAGUUAUAAUCAACUUCUUUGCAUUUGUUCAUCAUUCAUCAUAUUCUGUAUUUCACCCAAAAAGGACCAAGGGCAUGGUUUUCUGAGCAUACAACAACAGUCGAUGUACAAACAAUGACAAAUGAAGUGCACAUCCAUUCCUACUUAUCUUCGGAAGAGGCAAUGAUUAGCGGAGAUCAUACAGCAGAUACCGACUAUCUUUCAGGAUAAUUUUCAUUUAAUGAAACAGCAACCAGCAAACCCUGCGUAAAGCGGGAGCCUUGUGCACUGAGUACGACCUUUAAUGAAACAGCAACCAGCAAAGAAAACAUGCUUUACGCAUAAAAGAGAUGCACACAAAAGGGAGAUGCAACGAUUUAUAUGAUAUUAUCAACUCCGUCAAGAACAAAGCACAAAACAAGGAACAUAUCAGCAAAAGAGGGCUUGUAUGCAAAUGAAAAUUAUCAAAAAAAGGGCUUGUAUGCAAAUGUUGAUGAACCCUUUUGUAUGCAAACAAAAGGGAGAUAUGCAACGAUUUAUACCAUUUUUCCUUGGAUCCCCUUUUUUCCAAUUCCAGUUCUUAUUAGCAAAAGUCUACUUGUUUUCUCUCAUCAUGAAUCUCCCAAGUUUGCACAAUUCUGUUUUCCUUUUAAUCUUUUAAAUUUCUACAAAUUCAAAACUAUUGGAUCUUCUCGACCAUUCAAUGUAAUUAUGUCACACUUCAACAUUAGAGAGCAAAAUAACGAAAGGCUAAAUAUUACUCGAUUUUGAUCCAAACACAAUCCAAGAGCCAACAGAUCCCAACUUUAAAACAAAAUUGAAACCCUAACAACGUCAACUCUGCGAAAAUUUACAGAGCAAAGCGAAAACAAAGCAUUCGUGUCAUUGAAUUACCGAUUAAGCUCCGAAUCCGAACCCGAUCCCAACCAGGACUCAGAACUCAAGCUCCGCCACCAGAUCGGUGGAGGUACAGCUUGCCGAACACAUGAAGAGCCGUGACGAAGCCUAUGAAGCAGAGGCUCAUGACGAGGACAACAGUCGGGGUGAUCUUCAAGCCAGGAGCGUCGUCCGUGUAGAACCUCAGCAUGUUGUUUCCGGCACCUGAUCCGCCUCCUCCUCCGCCGAUGCUUCCGGAGCCGGUGGAGCCUCCGACACGACGGCGACGCAUUCCAGCAGUCGCGGCGGCCGAGCCCCGCGGAGCCAUGACGCCGGGGCGCGCAGUCGCAGAGGACGACGACGCUUGGGACUGGGAUGAACCUCGAGCCAUUGUUAGGACAACACGAAGAGGGCGUGAGCUACAAAGAGAGAGAGAGAGAGAGAGAGCGCGCACCGAGCAAAUGAAGAAAAUUUAGGGAGUGUAAUUAACGUGGACAAUACUUAAUUAUGAUUUUUGUUUACUUCUUUAUGGAUGGGUUAGCCAUGUCAAAUUCAAGGUUCUAAAAAACAUUAGAAGUUAGUUGGGCGGUGGGUUAGGACCUUGCGUUUAAACGGUUAGGUGGAGUCAGACGGAUUUAAGUAAAUCUAUUAUAUUUCGUAUAAGUAAAUGUCUGCUUAUAGUUAAAAUAUAUAUAAUUUCAUCAUAAUCUACAAAAUAGAAUGACAUAUAUAUUAUAAAGUAUUUGAAUAUAAUGAAACCAUGAGGAACAAGAAUAUAAUAUAUGUUCAUUUAGGUAUUGUUUGGUAUGCAGACGGGACGGAAUGGAAUAGGACGAGACAGGACGGGACGGAACGGAGAAGGAGCAAAGAUGCCCACAGAUGGAAACAAGGAGGAAGAAGAAGGAGACGGAAAUGUUAUAAUUUUGUGUUCCACAUAUAUGGAAUGAGUCAUUCCAGGGGGUAAGGUAGAACGAAAAUUCACCUAAAAUUCGUCCCAUGGAACAGCGCGUUCCACCCGUUUUAGGCGCACCAAACGUGAGAUGGAACGCCUUGUCCCACUCUGUUCUGUUCCGUCUCACGUACCAAAUGGAACCUUAAGUACGCAACAAGUCUCUUACAAUUUAUUAAAAAAAUAAAAUGCAAACUAAAAGUUAUAUAUUUUCUAUUCAAGUGAGUCAUGACCAAGGCGAGUGUCUAGGCGAGUUUGGACAGGCUAGGCGGGUGCCUCAGCAGAUCUAGGCGCCCUUUCUUAAUUUUCAAAUGCCUAGACAUUAAUCAGGGCGGUGACCAGCCGCCUAGUACCUAAGCGGCGCUAGGCGAUGAUUUUUAGAACACUGGUUAAAUUAUAAUGAAUGGCUAAACGUGAUAACUUGAAGUCUUAUGUCAAAAAUUGUAUUCCUCCAAAUAAAGUGUCAAUUUUUUUUUAAUUAUAUAAAAUUUUAAAUUGUUGUAUUUAUUAUAAAAAAUAGUUGAAACAAAAUUUUUAUUGGUUGAAAUGUUAGUUAAAUAAGGAAAAUACCAUUAAAAUUAAUAAGAUCCGCAAAAUCUUCAAAUUCAGUCAAUAAAUAACACUUCAGUUGGAAGAAUUUUUUAUGUUAAUAUGUACAGUGACAUUUCCACCUAGAAUUUAACAUUAAUUUUAAAGACGCUCUUAGUCAAACUGUGAUAUUGAAAAUAAAUAUGGACCGCCUAGGGAAGGCCAGUGAAGUUACUAAAACAGCUAAAGUUGGAUCAACGGAACCAAAUCAAGUGCCAAAAAUUGGAAAGGGAUCGUCUCCAGAUUCCUUCCUCCUAAUCUAUCAAGUUUGAAGAUCCGGACCGUUGAAAUUUGAUUAAACAGCUAAAGUUAUUAUAAUUUUUAAAAUGAGCCUCUGUUUGUAGCCGUUGGAUCAAAUUUCAAUAGUCCGGAUUUCCAGACUUGAUGGAUUAGGAAGAAGAGAUCCGAAGAAUAUCCCUUUUCCCAAAAAAUGCUAUUAUUAUUUAGGUAAAUUAUAUUUUAUCCUUUCAAGUUUCGAUGUGAUUGCAACCUCAUACAAUAUCUUUAAAAUAUUUCAAUCUCAUACAUUUACCAUUAUUUUAUUUCAAUUUCAUACAUUCGAUAAAAAGUUUGUUAAAUAACAUGGCAAAUGUGGCUGUCAAACUUUUGCCGCGUGGACAAAAACCUAAAACAAAACUAAAAUUUAAUUAUGACAUUAAAAUAUUAAAAUAAUUAAAAGAAUUGGAAAACAAAAGAAUUAAAAGAACUGGAAAAGUAAAAAAAAAAAAAGAAGAAGAAAAGGGUUCAUCUUCCCCACCGAACACCCCCUUGUCCCAUCACCAACCCGUUCCACCAUGACUUCUACGCCUUUUUCUCUAACCGGAAAUUCCUAAUUCCCCAUUUUCCGCAUCCAAUUUUGCGUUUCACCUCUUUCUUUAAUUGGGAUCGAGUGUUAGGACCUUUGGGCCCCAUAGGUUACUAGUACUUAUUAGGUUCAUUGUUAUUGUUAAGCCCACUAAGACUACUAAACUUUAGCUAUUCUUUUGUGUAUUUAAACUAGGAUUGUGCUAUUCACACAUCUCAUUUUACCUCUCACAAACCUUUUGAUAAUUUCUGUUCUUUGAUGUUCUUCAAUUCAUUCAAUCCGAUUGCUAAACAUUAAAAAAGUAUGUGAAAAAUAAAAUAAAAUGUGUAGAUAUCACAGUCUUUUAAACUACCAUGUUCAUCUAAAUUGGGAAUGAAUGAAGAUAUGAAUUUCCUUUUAUUUCCUUUUUCUAUUUCCUGCAUUACUUUUCUUGCAAUUUCCCAUGUAUCAUGUCUGAUCCUAUCAGCUCAAUACUUUUACUUUUCCAGCUGCAGAUGGAUGUCGUCGAAUCUGAAAGGGUUACAAGGACCGGUGGUUAAGACAAAUGAUUUUUCGACGGACAACGCCAUAAUUGGCAACGGUGACGAGGAGCAAAGGGCAUGACGACCUUGAACGCGUUCGAUUUGAUUUCGUUCUCGGCUAGGCUGGACCUGUCGGGGUUGUUCGAGCCGUUGAGCAGCAAACCGACGGAAGACGGCGAGCGAUUUAACAGAAAACUUACAGAGAUAGAGAGAGAAGAGAUUGGUUACUGGUUCUUGACGGAGAGGAAAAUGGAGGUGGGCAGAUUUUUAGGGUUUAUCUUUAAUUAUCGCGAUAAAUUUGAGGAUUGACGGAGUUUGCGAACGCGGAGAAGCUGAAGGUAAGGAGGAAGAAGAAUAAGGUCUGGAUAUGGAAGUAGGGUUGGGCAUGGGCCGGGCUGGGCCCAUUUUUGAAGGGACCGGACCGGACCCGGAAUUAAAGGAGACGGGGCGGGCCGAGCCGGACAUUACAAUUCUGAAAAUAGGAACCGGACCUUACCUGGCCCGGUUGAAACGGGCCGAUUCGGUCCGGGUACACGGGUCAUUUUUUUUUCCUGUUUAAAAAUGUUUGCUGCACACAGAUUGCAGUUUUUACACAGAACAUAUUUCACAUAUUGCAGUUUGAAAAAACUGCACAAAUUUCACAGAUUCCACAAAUUGCAGUUUGAAAAAACUGCACAGAUUGCAGUUUUUUACUGCACAGAUUGCAGUUUGAAAAAACUGCAUAAAUUGCAGUUUGUAUUUUGCAGUGCACAGAUUGCACAGAUUGAAAAAAACUGCACAAAUUCCACAAAUUUCACAGAUUUCCACAGAUUUCACAGAUUCCACAAAUUUCACAGAUUCCACAUUCCACAAAUUGCAAUUUGAAAAAACUGCACAGAUUGCAGUUUGCAUUUUGCAGUGCACAGAUUGCACAUAUUGAAAAAAAAAAUAGCACAGAUUGCAGUUUGAAAAAAAUUGCACAGAAUACAGAUUGUAGUUUGCAGACACAAAUUUCACAGAUUGCAUUUUGUUGCACAGACACAGAUUUCACAUAUUGCACAGAUUGCACACAUCAACAAUAAAUUUCAAAUUCCAACGCCCAAGUUCCGACAACAAUCUUCAUUCAAUCUGUAAGCAAAAAUACAAUAUAAACAUGACAUUUUUAAAGUCCAACAUCAUAUUAUCCUCAUUGAAAUUUAAAGUUCAUUCAUUUGAAUUUAAAAUAUUUCCACAAUUCCUUUUCCUUUAUUCGUUUGAGGAGCUUCAGGAACACUUUGUGAUAUGGUUGAACUUGUAGAGAUAGUAUUUGCUCUUUUUCUUUUAUAUUCUACAAUAAAGAACAAACGUUAAUUGUAAACCAAUUAAUAUAAAGUUAUAAACCAAACUAUUAAAAACAAAAUAGUUACCUUCUUCACACUCUUGAUAAAAUUCAAGCUCCGCAGGACUUGCUUCAUACUCAAUGCUGCCAAUUGGUUCACUUCUUAUCCAGUUUCGGAGGCACAUCAAUGACUCCACUGUUUGAGGAAGGAGACAUGAUCUACAAGGGUGAAUUACUCUUUUUCCUGCACUAAAUGCACUCUCACUGGCAACUGUUGACACUUGAACUGGCAAGACAUCUUUCGCUAUCAAAGCAAGUGUGGGAUAUGUGCUCCUCCCCUUCAACUUCCACCAUUUCAAAACGUCAAAUUGUGAACCUUGUAGUACUUUCUCUACAGUGUCAAGGAGAUACCUAUCCACCUCAUGUGCAAGCACAAUAUCCUCGGUGUCUUCUAGUUCCUUCUCCUAAUCAUCCAUGAUUUAACUAAAUAUCAUUGGAUUUUCCGUUGGCACACUAGAAGAUGAUUGUUUUACCCUUGAUAAAGAAGUGUCAAGAACUAAAUCUUCUCUACCCUUUUGUUGUGUUUGUAAACCGAAAGCUUGGAAAGCAUAUUCAUCACACAUCGCCUUCAACAAUGUCUUCACUUCAUUACUUUUCUGUUCAAUCUCUUCUUCAGGAAGUUGUAACUGCUUUCGGCACAAGUGCAUGUAGUGCCUCAAUUUGAACCUUGGGUCUAAGACAAGGGCAACUACAAAUAUUUGAUUAAGGGACUCAAUUGAACCAAAAUACUUUCGAUAUUUGGCUCUCAUGUUGAAUGCCAUAUCACGUAGCACCAACUCUACAGGUUUUCCAGUUUGCAUAUAUUCAGGCAAAAAAAGCUUUUCAAUCUUGUUUUCCACAACAAUGACAUCAUGAACAGCUGUAUUAGAUGUGGGAUACUUACUUGCACUAACUUUCAAAGUUAUAAGAUAUAAGGCCUUCAAAAAUUCCACAAACACUCAUGCACUAUCCCAAUCUUCCUCCUUAGGUGGUCCAACCCUCCCUUUACCCGUCACUUCUUCUCCUUCAUCAUUAAGCACCUUUUCACUGAAAUAGGUGGUGUAUAUAUUGGCUUCAUCAUCUUCGAUCAUCCUUUCAAAUGCUUUUUGAAACUUCAAGCAAGAUUCUAGCAUCAUGUAUGUGCUAUUCCACCUAGUAGGCACAUCUAUAACAACUAGACCCCUACUAUCCAACUUCUCACUCUCCACACAUUUCUUGAAAUAACUUAACCUUCGGGGACUUGACCUCACAAACCGCACGACAUUUCUAAGAGCAUCCACACUUGUAUCUAACCUUUUCAACCCAUGUUUCACUACUAAGUUGAUAAUAUGAGCUAAACACCUCACAUGCAUAAACUUGCCAUUCAUAAUCAUUUGACUAUUAGGCCAUUUCUGCAUUUUACGAACAACAUACUCAAUUGCCACCUUAUUAGCCGAUGCAUUGUCAACUGAGAUACACAUUACCUUUUCAAUCCCCCACUCAACCAAACAUUACUCAAUCAUCUUCCCUAUUUCUUUGCCUUGAUGACUUGAAAUCAAACAAAAGUUUAGAAUCCUUUUGUGCAUAUUCCAAUCAUUAUCCACAAAAUAAGCAGUUAGCACCAUGUAGUUCAAGUUUUGCACACUUGUCCAUGUAUCAGUAGUCAAGCUCACUCUAUGAUUGUGUAUCUCCUUUUUUAACUGAUCUUUCAUGCUAUCAUACAUAUUGAAUAACUCCCUCAUCAUAGUUCUCCGAGAUGGAACAUGCAAUCUAGGCUGGACUUUGCACAUCAUCCGCCUAAACCCUUCACUCUCCACAAUACUAAAAGGUAUCUCCUCGAGCACAAUAAACUCAAUAAUACCUUCCACACUUUCUUCUUGGCUCCACCCUUUAGCAACAAGCAUGUUUUUGACAUUCCCAUCCCCAGAAGGUCCAAAACUGCGUAGAACCUUUUGCAACUCAUCAGUUGGUUUAUAUGACUUGCAAUGUUUAUUGAGAUGUUUAAUGUAAGUACUAGUUCCACCCCCACUAGUAUCACAUGCAAAAAAAGAGUUACAAUGGUUACACUUAGCCUUCAAUACUUGUACCUCCCCCUUCUCUUUCUUUCCAUCCUUUUCUACUUCUUGCAUUUCCGAGACUGUACACUUAGUGAAAUGAUCCCAAACCCAAGAUCUCUCAAAAGAAGAUCUCUCUAGUGAAGCUAUUAUAGUUGGUUGUUUUGUCUUUGGAAUAGGUGGUGCUUUUCUUUUUCUAGAGGAUGAGGGGUUUAGGGGAGGCAUUGAUGGUUUUGACUGUAUGGGUUGUGCUUGUGUUGGUUGUGGAGGACAUGGUGAUGUAGCCGUAGAUGAUGCUACAUUAGUACUACUAGGAGUACUUUGACUUUGAGAUUGAGACAUUAUGUAAAAAUCUGUAAAAAUCAAAUAAUGGAACUAUAUUCAUUAAUCAAAUAGAGAUAUUUCGAAAUAAUUACUCUCUGGGAUGGGAAUCUGUGCAGUGCAGUUUGUGCACAUUGCAAUCUGUGCAGUGCAGUUUGUGCAGAUUGCAAUCUGUGCAGUGCAGUUUGCAAUCUGUGCAGUGCAGUUUGCAAUCUGUGCAGAUUGCAAUAUGUUUUUACUAACAAAAAGGACUUGAGUCCUCAAAACUAUUGUACGGAAAAAAAAACCACACUUUAUUUAUCCUGAUUCCUGAAACUAACUUAAAAGGGUUCCAUCCUAUUUCACAACCAAAAAGCUAAACAUGACGAUAGUAGUUGCGGCUCCUAAGAAAAAUGUACCUGCAGCUGAAAAUAUGUUGUAUCAAAGCCAGCUCCAAGUGAUAAUAUCUGCUUCUUCAAAUGACCCUUUUCACAAGCAUUUCCUUCGGUAUCAAGAAACUGAUUCAGAAGCUUCCGCAGAGCACCCCAACGAGCAAAGUACCCUGGUUUAAUGCAAAAACAAGGAAGCAAAGAAAUCAAAAGUCACUAAUGUGAAGCAGUACUUAUUAAGUACGAGCAAAGAAGCUACAAAAACCAUUAUAGUUAAGUAUAGUAAUUCUGGUCUGUCCAAAUAUUGAAACAUAAGCUGAGACGUAAUCAGUUUUUUCGGUUUUUUUCCUUUUCAGCUCUAGUUAGGACACCGCCCUAGUUGCAUGUAAGUUCUUCUCCCAAACAGUAGCACUAAAAAUUUAUUAUUUAUUACCGCUUGCAUCAUCUGCUUGUACAGCCUAAUAGAACAAACUAACAAAUGCAGCUAUAUGUACUGCUUAAGAACAUCUGAUUUGAUAGUUACUAAAUACUUAACUGAAUGGAUUAACAAGAAGGACAGAAGAUCAAUUCAAUUUUACUCUUGCUCUAUAACAUCUGUUCAACUUGUAACCAACCAAGAACACAUCACAAAUGCCAACGAAUGUGAAUCUUAAGAGGAUCUAAUAUGCAAAACAAUCAUAAACUGUUAAGCAGUCGGAUGACCUCUACCCUAAACACACCGGCAAAAAGCAUUUCCGGCCAUACAUCCUGUGCAGUGGAGGACUAACAAGAUACAGUUAUGGCCUACGCCCAGCACAUAUGUUGUCGAAAAGAGAUGAAAUGCACAAAUGCAAAAACUCAAUUUCACAAGUUCAAGUGGCGUCGAAUCAACAUGAAUUUCAAUGCUGCAUUCGGAAAGCAUGCAUAGCAAUGCUCACGAGCUUUCGAAAAUGGAUAAUCAUAAUGCCAAACAAAUUGUAACAAACACAAAAUCGAAACAAAACCGUCACGAUACCACAACAUAAUCAUACAUCCACAGCAAAACCAUUCAUUUGGAAAAGCAGAAAUGCAUAUAAAUAUCCGCUAAUUAAACUUCCAAAAUAUAACAUAAACUGUAGCUCAGCAGUCUAAACAGAAUUCCAAAUCCAAAAGACAGCAACUUUAAUCGAAAACCCUAGUGCUCAAAAUUCCAAAACAACCCAAACCUAAGCGGUAAGCUGGUUUUACUAAUGUGAAAAGGAAAAAAACCGAAAAAACUGAUUACGUCUCAUUUUCCUGCAUUUUCUCAGCAACCAAACACUGCCUAACGGCAUUCCAAAAAUUACACAAAAACAAUUUGACAUUUCUCAAGUUGCACAAUCCCAAUUUUGCCCAAAUGAGAAAUCAGAUGAAUUUUCGAUAGAAAAUGACGAAACAGAGAGAGAUACUUACAUGCUAGAAUGACAAAGAUGAUGGCCCAAGGUUUGUGCAGGGGAAACGACGCCGUAUUGUGGUUCUCUGACUCGCUAGGGUUUCGAAGAGUGAGGAGUGGGGAAGGGAUAGGGAGGGAGAGGAGAGGGACUUAGGGAGAUGGAGUCGAGGGAGAGUCUGAGUAUCUGAGAAUCCGACUGAGGUCUGAGGCUGCUGAGGCUGAGGAUGCUUCUUCUGGAACUCGGGACU